CGUUAUUCUUGGGAUGCAAAAUGGUUGACGCAGGAAGCUUUAGGGUGUUACAAAGUACUGACUACUUGUGGUCUUUAUCGUAAAUACAAAAUUAACAAGAGUAUUCUGAAAUUCUUGAGGAUAUUGGAAUCUUGUGCUGUUGAUCGAUCCAAGAACAUACUGCGAUCAAUAAUUAAUCCGUUUAUAAGAAUAAACAAGUGAACAACACGUGAAGAUAUCAACAGAUCGUCAACUGUUUUGACCAUCGGAGUAAUUGUAGAAUGAGGUUCCAAGUAUAUAUUUGUUUAAUCGUGUGAUGGAUUUUUUCUUUGCUAUAUAAAUACAAAGUGAAAUCUGUCUUUUAUUAUUUGUGUAUUCUUCAAAACAGGUUCCGGUGCAUCCGAACGGUUCGUGAAUCUGUCAACAAGCAACUCCUUGAACAAAAUGCCGUUACAUGUGCUACAUGGCAUUUUAUUCUGACUAUUUUAAAGGAGAUGGAGAUAUACUUGAAGAAAUGGAAUUUAAAUAUUUAUUAAUGAGAAAUGGGAAAGAAAAUUCAAUGCAUCGGCCGCUAUGUCAUGGACGGGAAAACACUUGGGAAAGGCACUUUUGGCAAGGUGGAACUAGCCACACAUGGCGUGACAGGUUGUAAGGUGAGGGGUGCCGAAUAUUUAAACAUACCGCGCUUGUAACUUUUUUCUAUGCAAGUGAACAGGAAACGGAAAAGGUAUUCGUAGGGUAUCUUAAAGAUAUUUUUAACAGAUUUAUUUAUCACUGUUCGAGGUAUUUUUGAAUUCCAGUAAUUAGAGAAAUGUCUUUGAUAUUAACUAUAUUUUGGGCACUUAAAGCUGACAGUACCAUUUGAAAGUAAAAAGUUCCACACAAAUUUUAUCUUUAGAAAAAUUUGGUCUUCUGUUUUCAUCUUUCACAAGAGUUGUCUCCCAUUUUGAGUUAUCUCCCAUAUUGAUUGUACUUCUACACUGUUUGUAUGUAAGUCAGUGGUUUUUUUUUUUAAGAAAAUGUUACAAGAUAAAAAAGCAAACUUUAAAUAGUCAUCAGUUUUAUUUGUAUUUCACAUCUUAAGAAUUUUAGGAACUUCUUGGUUAUUACAACAUGUAACUUCAGCAAUGUUUUUGAAAUUAUUUUUGGAUGGAAAAUUAAUGUGGUAAUAAAAUGUCUAAAAUGGACAUACCUUUAUAGCAGUACUGUACUACCAAAGUGUAUAAACCUGAAAAAUAUUAAAGGAAUAAUGGUUUAUGAAAUGAUGCCCUCUAUGCAACCUGCAAAUUAAGUACCAUCUUUACUGUUUUUCUAUUCAUUUUAGCCUUUUAAUGGAAAGGCGAAUAAAAUGUCUUUAUUUCAUGCUACAUUUAUCCUAUGAUUGGCCUUAAUUUGAACCAAAUAUAUAUUAUUAUCUUAGGCAAAAUUUCUUUUAAUAAAUGUGCUGUUUCAGUGCUUGAAGUAAGCAGGCAUUUUUUUUGUCAGACAUAGUUAAACUUCUUUAUAUCCUACAGUGUCCCGAUGGAGAAAUACAAAUGGUUUAAACUUUGGACAAACAUUUGUUAUGGAAAAAGAAAGUUUUCUGUGCAUUGAAAUUUUUAAAAGAACAACUGAACAAAUUGUGACAUUUGUACUAGUUAUAAUAGGACUUGUAAUAUAAAAUAAGUAGUGUUAUCAUUGCCAGGAACAUUCAAAAUGUGGCAGGGUACAUGUAACUUAAACAUAUUUUGGGACAAUUUUCUAGUUAUUUUCUAGUGAAGCAAACCUUCUGACCCUUCCAGAGCCCUCAAUGUUUUGUUGUUUUUUUUUAUUUAAUCUUUUAUUUUUCUGUGUAAUAAUGUCAUUUGCCUGUCUUUGUUCUUCAUUUGACAAUUCCUAUAGUGUGUUCUGUUUUUUUUCGACUAUUUUUCUAUUGACACUUUGGUAUCUUCUCACCUCAUUUUAUUUUCUGGUGGUAAAGGUUUAUAAUAAACCUGACAAAGUAAAUUUAUGAAUGAAUCGGCAUUUCUGCAUAAUUGAAAUUAUAUAUCCAUUGGCUUCAUGUACAUUUGUAAUAGGUUUGCAGAUGUUUUGAAAAAAUUGUUUGUUUUGGCGAGAGAUUUUCAGUUGCAGUCCUAUAAAACACAAAAGUCCUGCUUUCUAUUUAAAAAUUGUAAAAAUAACAAUGUAUGGGCACAUUCAAACAGUAAAAUUGGGUCAUAUAUUUAGCUGAUCUGUAAAAAAUAACAUCUCCAUGCCUUAUAUAUCAUGUACUGUAGUAACGCUAGAUUAAAACUGACGUGGAAAGGUACACAGCUUCAUUUUUAUGAAGCUCAGAUGGUCGUGUGGUCUAGCUGGACGGCUACAGUGCAGGCGAUUUGGUGUCACGAUAUCUCAGUAGCAUGGGUUCGAAUCCUGGCGAGGGAAGAACAAAAAAUUUAGAAAAGCAAAGUUACAGAUCUAACAUUGUUGGAUUGAUGUUUAGACAAGUUGUAUAUAUAUACAUAAUGUACACAGCCAGUAUACCAUCAUGCUGGUGAUCCGAUGGAUAAUCUGUUGUAAAUUGUCACUGUCAGACGUACUUUAUACUGUUAUAUAGUUUAAUAGUUCAACAUAUUUAUGAUUUAGACAGCUAGUUGAUAAAAGUCUGAUAAUAUACAACUACCAUAGUCUAAAACAUUGACUAUUAGUUUAGAUAUAUAUUUCAAGUCUGCAGUAUACAGUUGACACAGUUGGGCAUUGUACUGUGUCCACACUUUGUAAUAGAGAAUCUCUGACUGCUUUUAUAUCUCCUCUUUUAGAGAACUGUAGGCAUUCUCUCUAGAAACAAUAUUUUUCAUUGUAUCUUAUCAACUUCAAUUUAAUUUAUUAUCCCCAUUAAUUAGAAGACAAUUUACUCAAAACAUCAAUUUAGUAUUGAACAAAUAAAACACAUUGCAUCCCAUUGAUUUGCUGCAAGUGUUUGAACCAGACUAUUUCUAAUUCAUUUAUUAACUCAGAUGAAUGACAACACAUUUAAUUAGAAAUCAGAAGUAAUCAAUAAAAACACAAAGUGAAGCUAUAAUUUAAACUAUUUAACAGUGGAAUAAAAAUGAUUGUGACCUUGACCUUGAGUAAAUCAUUUAAAAACAUACGAAGUUUAAAUUUUAUUUCAAAUUAGUUGUAUGCUGUAAGUUGAAUUUGUUGAAAUAUAUUAAAGAAAAGAUGACAGUGGAAAAUUUAAUUUUAAUUUUCCUUUAGCUAUUGGUUAGAAACAUUUGUGAGAAGGGUGGCUCCCCCCCCCUCCUUGUCCUAUCAAUUUUUGUGCACAAAAUCAUGAAUAAAUAUUAUCUUUUUAUGAUACUUAUAAGUCCUACAAAUAUAUGUUUUGUUCUUAUAAAAAGUAAUAAUGUGAUUAAUCUAAAAAUCAACACUUAAAUAUGAAAAUGAUUUUAAAAGAAUCAAGAAGAUUGAUUUUGUGAUAGAGUAAAGGAAUUGUCUAUGAAAACUAUCACACAUAAUUUUUUAUUUGUUUUAUAAUGAUAAUUGAACAAUAAUGUGGAUUUAAUAUAUAGGCUAGAUUGUCUGUCUUUGAAAGGCAAAAACUAAGCCUUUGAUUCCCAUGUGUAGCAUACCCUAUAGAUUUAUAGUGUACGUAAUUAGCCUGUCCCAUUUCAUACAUAAUUCAGGAACCCUGAGGAAAGAAAAAAUCAUAGUCGUAUAAAUAAAAUAUAUAAUAUAUAAAUGGUCAACACAUAAACAUGAUAAUUUAAUCCAUUACUAUGGAAAUCCUGAAUAAGGUGGGAGAAUCCACCCUAGGGGGGUUCUGGGAAGUAAAGGGAUUAUUGUAAAUUACUAAGUCGUGACUUAGUUGUCAGAUAAACUUCUAUGUUAGAGCUUGUGCUGAUGCAAAAAGAAUCAGAUUUGAUAUGUAUACACUCUACAAAGAAAUGAGCUUGCUGUGUGGUGUGAGCCAAUCAAGGCUCAGUGUUGAAGACUGUACUUUGACCUAUAAAGGUUUACUUUUAUAAAUUGUGACUUGGAUGGAGAGUUGUCUCAUUGGCACUCAUACCACAUCUUCUUAUAUAUUUCUACUGAUUCAACUCUUUUCUAUUCUUAUAUUGUGGAAAAAUUGCUCAUGUAUUAUUCUAUUUUUUUUUUUGAUAAUUCACUUUUAAAUGAUUGAUAAACUAAUGUUUGAUCAAAUUCUUUAUGUAGAAUUGAGUUUUCCAUAUAAUAUACACCAGCUCUAAGAAAGAUAAUAAAAUUUAUGUUGACCCUGAGAUAUCAGAAAAUAAUGGUCUCAACGGAUAGAUACCAGAAUCAAUUACAACUCUCAGAGAGAACAAUAUAUUGAUGGGUGGCUCAUUUUGGACUACAGAAAAGAGAUUUUUCUGACAUUAAAGAUGACAACCUUGAUGUAUACUUUCCGGCAUUUUGGUUGACUUUGCUCGCUGUGGCGAACGCAUGUUGCGUGAAAUACUGAAAGGAAAAGUACAAAGAUUGAGGUUAUAAGAGAUGCCAUUCUUAGAAUAUACUUCGCUGAUACCCAAGAGAGAAAAAACAGUCGACUGCACAGAUGUGUAUACAACGUAACGGCACUGAACCACUUAUGGCUCAUAGACAAUAACCAUAAAUUAAUAAGAUGGAGAUUCAUUAUACUAAUAUCCAUCAUAGAACUCGUCUGGUACACCUAUAUAAAAAAGAAAAUGUUGUACGAUUGCCAAUGAGACAACUCUCCACAAGAGUUCCCAUGAAAAAGCUCAUCAUAAUAGACCAAAUGACACAGAAAUUAACAAAUAGGUCACUAAAACUUCAUAAAAAUACCACAUUAGUCCGCAAGAUAUGGCCCGGAAAUGAUGAUGUAUAUAUUAGACAACUAAUAUAUGUGUUCUGAAAUCAACAACAAUUGAAUCUGUUGCUCUCACUGCAGUUAUUUCCCUUACUUCAAUGGACAGAUAUUAUUAUUAUGACAGGAAUCACCACCCAACACCAGUGGCAUAUCGUAGGGAGGGGGGAGUAGUGGUUCUUGGGUAACCGGCUGGAACCCCCUCUUUUUUUAUGAUCAAUACAUUUGAAUGGGCACAUAUAUUUGGAGCACUCUUUUUAAAAAUCACGUGAUCAGCCUUGCAACCUAACAAGAUCAUAUACAAAAUUUAUCCUUUAACCUUUUGCACUGGCCAAACAGGGGCAUUUGUUUUAGCAGAAAUCUUUUAAAUGGACUAAUUUUUAUCUAAUGACUACUGUAGUAUCAUCCUACCUAGCAAAUACAUUUAUUACUCUUUUCAUGUCAUUCCCUGAGUAAAAGUUUAGAUAUAACAGCUGCCGAUGUUGACUCAGAUACUUGUCUAAUGUUUAACAUUGGAUGACAUCUCAUGUAAAAUUGAUGCUUUUUUUCAACAAGAUUCUCAUCUAUCUGAGAUAAUUUCCUGAAUUAGGAAAAUCCAUUUCCAGAAAUGUGUUUUUAUUUGUUUAUAAAGUCAUGAUGGUCAGCUUCUUUUAUCACAUUGAAAAUAGCCUCUGAGUAAUAGGUCAGCUGCAACCCUGUCGCAAUACUGAAAUAAAUUGUGAUGAAUUAAAUAAUGAAUAAAACAGCUAAGCAGGUAUGAUUUGUAUGGUUUGCUGUCUUUUUGAGGUAUCUCCUUUAAUUCAAAUAGUAUAUAUGGAACUGGUCAAAGCACCAUCUUCCUGUAGUCUAGAAUUUUUGGGUUAAAACGAUUCCUUGCAAUGACCUGUAGGAUUGAAAUAUUUGACCCCAGGCAAUGGCAUGUACAGCCGGUACUAAUGGUCUUUUGUUUGUCUGUGAGUUUGGUGUACACAGUGAGUCCUGAUGUUCUUUACUUACUGAAAUAUAUGCAUCUAGUGUUUUACCUUUACUUUAAACUCAUACUAAGAUUGGUGACCUCAGUGGCUAAGUAGUUCAUUUGCAGUAUCACUAGCCUGUCAGCACAGUCAGUUGUCCGAAGGUCAAUGUGCUUUUUAUAAUAUUCACUUUUGUCAAUCCAAAAAACAGGGAAAUACACAGGUUUAUUAAACAUGUCUUGAAUAAUUUACUUCAUCAUAUUCUCAGAAAAAAACUUAUCCUUUAAAUCAAUGGAAGAGCAAUUUUCCAUCAUACCCCAUCUUCACAUUUAUUUUAUGAAAUUUCUAAGUGUUUUAAAGGAUUUUUUUAUUAUUUCGUAUGAGAUGUUUGGUUGAUGUCAGUUGUUGAAUUUCUAUGGAAACUUGUGGUUAACUAAAUCAAUACAAGUAGCAUUUAUUAAUAUUACUGAUAGACAUUUAGUAACUCUUUGCUUUCCCCAGUGAGUUGGACUUAAAAGCCUUCGUUUUAGCGUAAAAAUUACAUAAAUGAUUUCGGUAUAUAAGUCUGAUGUGCAUAACAAUAAAUCUUGAACUGUGUACUCAACAAUGUUUACUUUGUUUCCCACAUCAAUUUACAGGAUAAUUCUAACAAAACAAUCACAGGCGUUGGUUUUGUUUACCGAUAGAAUUUCAGUAAAAAAUUUCAAUUCUGUCACAUGAUUAGAUGAAGAAAUCCGUUUAGCUUACUUGGGCUUCAAUUAGAAUGAAAUGAUUCAUUCACCCGAGACAACAAUUAAAGUAUUUACUGAAUUAGUAAGUCAGGUCAUUAGUUUGACUGUUUCAAAUAUCCUAGAUUCAGUUCCAAUUAUUUUAGUGUUUGUCAUGGAUUAAGAAAAAAAGUGUCUUUGUGGUUUUAACUUAUUCUGCAUUCAAGCCUUUCAGAAAUUUACAUACUAUUUUUGUUGAAUAUUGAAUUCAUAUUCGUAACUUUACCCAUAAUACAUUGUAAAAGAGAGGCUAAAGAAACUAAAGGGACAUUCAAGCUCAUAGAUCUAAUAAAACUGACAAUGCCGUGGCCAAAAAUAAAAGACUAGAUUCAAUAUAAUCUACUUAACCUAAUAUAUUGUACAAGUAUUUUGAUAAAUUCACAGUAGGGAGAGUCCAAGGUCUUUUAUUUUGGUCCGUUUAGGCAAAGUCAUAUCCAACUUAUUGGUGAUGUGGGGCUGGUGGGUGACAGGCAUGUGGAUUAUUUCUUGUAAACAGAAUUUUAACUAGUCAGGUGAACAAGAUUUUCCAUUGAUGACACUAGGGUCAUACAUGACUAUCAAGACCACAACAGGGAGGAUAAAAAAGAGGAAUCCAAACCAUAAGCAAUUUGAGCCACAUGGCAAAGGAAAUUUCUUUUUUUAUUAAGAAUGGUAAUUCUUUAGAAAUGCAUGCAUCUCGAAACGUGAGAAGCCUGUUUAAAUACAUCACUUAUUAGUAUAGAUCUAGGGAUAAGUUCAGCAUUCAAAUUUUAAUUGACUUAUGUUUUACAUAAAAUGUGUAUUUCCAACUAUUCUUUUUCAGAGAAUCAAUUUUCAAAUUUUACUUCUUUUUCAGGUGGCUAUCAAAAUAAUAGAUACAAGGAAAAUCAAAGAGGAAUAUGUACAGCAAAAUCUACAUCGGGAAGCUAGAAUACUGGGGCAGCUUCGCCACCCAAAUAUAAUAAGGUUAUAUGAAACUCUAAAGGUUAGUGUUCAAUUCUGUGUUACUCGUUAAAUAAGGUUCAUAUUGCUCUCAGAUCUGACAGCCUUUUUGGAGGACUUGCACACCAACUGCCUGAAAUACCUUCAAAUGUCUUAAGAAAUCUCAAACUAUCCUGAAAAAAAUGGGAUUCAUCAAUGGUCACAUUACAUCAAUUUUGAGAAAAAUUAUAUAUAUCAAAACAUGAUAUUGAUGUGUAAACUGUUCCUGCGUAAUUUAUAUCCACCAUUGUCGUUCUAAGUAUACUAAUAGUUCAAUAAUGGAAAAUAAAACAUAUUUUUAUGAUAUCAGCCCUUCAAAUCUUAAUAAAUGUCGUAAUCUUUAGGGAGAAUAUUUCGUCCUUGAGGACUUCUGAUUCUGGUAAUGCAUUUACACUAGUAGAAAAUUUAGCAUGUCUGGAUUAUGAAUACAUUUGAGAAGUUGUCAACACUGUAAUGUCCAAGGGGAAAGAUAUGUGUGUGACAAGUCACAAGUAGAUUGUCUUAAAUUCCAUUAUGCUGUCGGUGAUGACCAAUGUUUUAUCACUUCUUUUGUUUCCUGCCAAGACAGAUUACAGUCUGACAGAAUCCGGGGAAGAAUUAGUGCUCGCAGACAUUUUAUGGAAAAUGGAAGUAACUUAAAGACUGGCUUGGAAACCCAGUAAAAUAAAAAAUGGAUUAGAAAAGUAAUUGAUAAUUGAUUCCCAGGUAUCAUUUGUAAAUGGCCACCAGACAUUUCCAAUAUUUUUCUUCUUCAGGAAAGCAAUUUUAUAGAACUUUGCUUUUGAUUUCCUUCACACAUUUAACAGACUGUUAUUGGCUUAAAAUUGAAAAUAUUGAAAGUCCUUGAUUUUGCAUAAACUGUUUACAGUAUAACAAAUCAAUUAAAUGUUGAGAUCAGCAUAUUUCAUACAAUUUGUUAUAUAACAAUAAUUUUCUUUAUGUGAUCAGCAUAUUGCAUGCAAUUUGUUAUAUAACACUAUUUCUCAUUACAUGGUAACUGUUUGUCAUAAAAUCUGCACAUUUGAUAUAAUGGUUCAUCAUCAGUUAGAUUUUAAAUCUGAAAGUUUCAAAUUUAGAAUGUUAUGAAAUUGACUUUUUAUCUCACCUGGCCUAAAAGGCCAUGUGAGCUUUUCUCAUCACUUGGCGUCCGUUGUCGUCGUCGUCGACUGUCGUCGUUAACAAUUUUUCAAACAUCUUCUCCUCUGAAACUACUGAAUAGAUUUGAAUGAAACUUAAAAUGAUUGUUCCUUAGAUUAUCCUGCACAAAGUGUGUGCUUCGAUUUUUGAUCCGUCAAAAAACAUGGCCGCCGUUACUUAAAAUAGAACAUAGGGGUCAAAUGCAGUUUUUGGCUUAUAUCUCAAAAACGGAAGCAGCAUUUAGAGCAAAUCUGACAUGGGGUAAAAAUGUUCAUUAGGUCAAGAUCUAUCAGCCCAGAAAUUUCAGAUGAAUCAAACUAAACCAUUGUUGGGUUGCUGCACUUAAUUGGUAAUUUUAAGGAAAUUUUGCAGUUUUUGGUCAUUAUCUUGAAUAUUAUUAUAGAUGAAGAUAAACUGUAAACAGCAAAAAUGAUCAGCAAAGUAAGAUCUACAAAUAGGUUAAUAUGACCAAAAUUGUCAAUUGACCCCUUAAGGGGUAAAUGUCCUUUAAUGACAAUUUUUCUCGAUUUGUUCAUCAUAUUUGCUAACUUUAAAAAUCUUCUCCUCUAAACUACUGAAUGGAUGGAUGAAACUUAGCAUGAUAGUUCCUUAGAUUAUCCUGCACAAAGUGUGUGCUUCGAUUUUUGAUCAAAAAAACAUGGCCGCCCUUAUUUAAUAGAACACAGGGGUCAAAUGCAGUUUUUGCUUAUAUCUCAAAAACGAAAGCAUUUAGAGCAAAUCUGACAUGGGGUAAAAAUGUUCAUUAGGUCAAGAUCUAUCAGCCCUGAAAUUUUCAGACGAAUCAAACAAACCAUUGUUGAGUUGCGCACUUAAUUGGUAAUUUUAAGGAAAUUUUGCAGUUUUUGGUCAUUAUCUUGAAUAUCAUUAUAGAUAAAGAUAACUGUAAACAGCAAAAUGAUCAGCAAAGUAAAGAUCUACAAAUAGGUUGAUAUGACCAAAAUUGUCAUUGACCCCUUAAGGGGUAAAUGUCCUUUAAUGACAAUUUUUCACAAUUUGUUCAUCAUAUUUGCUAACUUUAAAAAAUCUUCUCCUCUGAAACUACUGAAUGGAUUUGGAUGAAACUUAGCAUGAUAGUUCCUUAGAUUAUCCUGCACAAAGUGUGUGCUUCGAUUUUUGAUCCGUCAAAAAACAUGGGCCCUUACUUUAAAUAGAACAUAGGGGUAAGUUUUUUGUUUUGGUCUGUUUUUCUUAUACUAUAUGCAAUAGGUCUACUAAAUUGGUGUAUAGAAUGAUGUAAGGUGUAACAUGUCUGCUGACAGGUGUCAUCUACCUUGACCUCAUUUUCAUAAUUCAGUGGUCAAAGUUAACUUUUUUAGUUUUGGUCUAUUUUUUUAAUACUUUAUGCAUUAGGUCAACUAUAUUUGGUGUAUGAAAAUAUUUUAUGAUCUAUAUUCGGUUACGCAGUUUUAUUGAACUUGACCUCAUUUUCACAGUCCAUUGCUAAGUUUUAAGUGUUUGUGUUUUGGUCUCAUUUUCUUUAUUUAUAAACAGUAAGUCAUAUAUAUUUGUAAUAUUGAAGAAUUGUUAGCUGUACAUGUUUGCCUGGCAUGGUUCAAUAUGUUCAAUAAGGCAUUGUUUACCAGGUGAGCGAUUCAGGCUCUUGAGAGCCUCUUGUUUGCAUAAUAUUUUUGGGUUAUAAAAUCAAUUUUUCCGGAAAAGUUACAAGUGUUUCUUACAUUUUUAAUUUUUGAAGUACCAUAGAAUUAUUUUGCACUAUAUCUACACAGUACUGCUAUUGAAGGCUUCCUUCCUCUUUACUUGUUCAGAGUCAUUAAUAGAUGAAAUGUUAUUGUUUUAGACUGUCAACUUCCUUAUUGGUGACAAAAGGACUUCAAUACUGUUUUAUUAUUUCUUGAUCAAAUUGUGAAAUUUGUUCAGUUCUCCAGACUCAAUAAUUGGGAAUGUCACAUAUGAAGUAAGCAAAACUUCAAACGUUAAAAUGAAAUGGGCUUUUAAGUAUUUGAAUACUCAAAUGAUUGUGACCAUUGUAUUUGAUGGGAGACAGUCACUAUCUUAUGUUCGUAAUUAUAUAAAAAUCAAGUACCACUUCACUUCAGAAUCAUGCAAAACGUGAUUUUUGAGAGGAGAGCAUACAUAUUUUUAUUUUGACAUUUUGUUCAUAACAUUAAGUUAUAUUAAAAAUGACCCAUAAAUUCUAUAAUUAUAUAUUGUCAUAGUUAUGAAAAUUCUGAAAAGGGGGAAUAACUCCAUAAUCCACAGUAUGCACAUUCCAUUAAAAAAAAUAUCAAGUCAAAAUUUAAAUUAUUUUCAUGACCAACCAGUUAAGGAGAAGACUACUUAAGUUCUAAUGACAUAGAACUCUGGAAAAGGUCUAGUUGAACCUACAUUAUGUACAGGGAUUUAUAUAGUUAGACUAUACAAAUCCUUGUCCUUGAUAUGUAAAAUAAACACAAAAAUCAAUUGAUAUUUUAGAAAGCAAAAAUUCUUCUUCAUCAGUACAGCGACUAAAAAAUUUUAUUCAUUUUUUGUGACCCUUAUAUAUAGAAUAAUAACUUGUUUAAAAUUAUGAGAUUAGGAACUCAGUUAAUUAUUGAUUAGUUCUAUAAUUUCUCAAAUUACCUGAAAUGUUUUUUUUUACUUUAAGUUUGCUACAUAAAUAUUUAAAGCAUUUGUAAUUACAACCAUAUUAUAUAGUAUUGAACUGUUUGCUUUGAGUUGUAUUUUAAAUGGAUUUGCUCCAAUUUUACACAUAUGGUUCUAUGCCAUGAUAAUAUAUAAGUUAGUAUACAUUUGUUGAUAUGCCUGAGGAGAAUGUGGUAUUGAUUACAACUGCUUAUGGGACAUAUAGAAACCAGAAAACUUCUAGUUAACCUUUAGUCUUCGGAUAGGAUUAUAAGAACAUAAGUUCUUUACAUAACUUCUUGCGUAAUCAACUAUAAAUCCUUAUAUUAUUUUAUGAUGAUUGUUUCUAAACAAAAUAAGAUUAUGAAAUAUUUGUUCAAGCAAGAAGGAACUUUAUGGCUAUGUUUACAAACAUAGAAACAAGCAGUCCAAGUAGGUUAUGUAGCAAUCAUUAUGUUAUUUCUAAUAGUAAAGUUCAGACUGAUCUUAUCAGCUAUGAAACCAUGUACUGAAAAUUUGCUAUUGUUUUGGUUUUAAAUUAUAAAAUUGAGAAUGGAAAUGGGAAACAUUUAUCAGGUGUUAUGGGAUACUUGUAUAGUCAUUAUUAUCAAUUACAAUCAAGAUCAUGUACUCUGAAUUCAUUAUUAUUAGUUGGAUACCAAUUUUUCGUUGAUUUCGUGGGUACUGGAAAACAACAAAAUUUAAUAUUCAACAAAUAUAAAAUUUCUAUAGCCUUAAUUGUAUGCAGACUUGGUAGAAUCACGAACAUUGGUACCCAUGAAAAUAAAUGAUUCCAUAGUAAUAAGAUAUAGGGGUAUAGUACAACCUGAUGAACUCCUGAACAAACAUUGAAGAGAGCACCUAAUGGUGAAAAUACCAACAAUCCUAAAAAAAAUCUGAUUCUGACAAUAUUUUUGAAUUUUUGUUGAGCCUGUGAAUUUUUUUUACAACAUGUUUUUGUCCCUUAGUAGUCACUGAAAAUAAUGUAUCAAUGUAAAAUGAAAAUCACAUUGAAAUAUUAGUGCAAAUAUUGAAGCAAUGCAAAUGAAAAUCACAUUGCAAUAUCAUUUGCAGACCAUUAUUCCAAACGUCUUUGAUAGAUGAUAACUUGCCAGUGGUUAUAUGAUAAGACCUUGGUGUCUGUUUAUAGACUGAACAACUGAUUGCCUUUAUCUCUACAGAGCUACCUGUUUUUAAAAGGAAAAAAAUAAGAAUUGACGUCAUGUAUUGUUGGAAUGAUAUUGAUGUUAACUGGCGGUUAAUACUACUAGAGACAAAAUAUCUAUCACUUGGCAUGCUUCGUUUGAUUUUAACAUAUUAUUCCUAAUAGAUCAGGAUUCAAACUUAUUCAUCCUUGAGAUUUUAAACAAGCUGACAGGGAAUGUAAGAAAUGAAAUAGAAUCUGUAUUAUUGUUCAUGUUGAAAAAGAAAGAUUUUCUGUGUCAUAGGUUUUGAUUAUAAAGAUGUCAAUUAUGCUUGCAAUACAGAGAAACAAUGCAAUCCUAUUUUGAUAUAGAGUUAAUACUGUUAGGGUGAAUCUAUAAACCAGAACUGAAAUUGUGUCUUCAAAGAAAGUAAAACAAAUGUAAAUAAUCAUCUGUCCUUGUAAUAUUAUUAAAAGCAAUCUUGAACUUGCUCCUUAAUACUGGAAUCUUGAACUUCAUACAUCCAAACUCUUUGAUUGGAUCAAGUACAUGUAUCAUAUAUUUUAGUCAAUUCAAAUGGGUAUUACUUUUUUGAAGGCAUUUUUAUGGUUAGUCUUUCAAGCGACCUUCAUAAAACUUUGUGCUUUUGCAUGGCCAUGGGAAUUCUUGAAACCUUGUUUUAUAAAAUUCCAAGGUGAAGUGUCAAAGAUCUGAUUAUGAUAUAUGAGGAAAUGGCAAAAUAUCCAGUAAUCAUCAACUUCAUCAAAUAUUGAGCUAUUGAGAGAGAGCGUAAAUCCAAUUGAAUUUCAAGGUAAAGAGGUCCUUGCAGGCAAAAUAAAUUUCCUGUCUUGUUUCCAAUAUAUAUAUAAACAAUUUCUGAUACUUGGCCAUAGGGUGAGCUAAAACCCUGUUUAAUUAUAAGGUUAUUGGUCAGUUGUCAAGGUCAGCUAAUAUCAUAACAGGAUAACAAGGAAAAAAGAUGUGGUAAUUGAAAAGAAAUGAUAAGUUAUAGAUCCACUUGAGACGAGCAUCUUCUGAAACACUGGAGGUGGGGCUGUUAUGCAUAAAAAACCAUUCCGAAGGUACAUGUAGUAGAAUUUCCUGAACAGUUCGCCUGCUAGACUCCAAAUUUCUGAAGACUUUGUAUAUUUCACAAAUAUCCUUAUUAUCUAGCUUUGUAGACAUAAAAAAAAACAGUCCCAUUUAAUAUUUGUGAAUAAUUCAAGAGUCCCUGGGAAGUUUGCCAAAAAACAAUGAUAGAGAGUGAAAAAGAGAUCAUCAUUUGUGAACAUACACUGACAGUGGUAAAAUAUCAAUGAAUUCAUUUGAUCAAAGAAGGUGUUACAUGAAACAUACACUAACCCAUCAAAAUCCAGGAUACUUUAUAUGGUAUAAUUAUAAAUAAUGACCAAUAUAUCCAAAGUAAUGUUAGAUUUAUUAAAUCUGUGUUGUGAUGGUCCUUCUUUUGAUAUAAUUGAGCUUUUUAACAAAACUGAAAAAUCAAAUUGGUAACCGUAAUACAUUUAUGUGUGCACAAACUGUUCCAGUUUCAGGUCACUUAGAGUUGCAUUAAAGUCCCUAAAUAUAAAUUAAUAAAGAUAGAAAGACUUGAGAUGCAUUGAUACUUCAAUAUAUGAAACAGCAGCUCCUUUUAUACAUACAUUUGUACUAAUAGCUCUUGUUUCUGGGUAAAAGGACUGUUUCUAACAUUAAAUUGUCUAAUGGAUCAAUAUAAACACUCUUAGUUCUAUGUAGCUGUUGGCAUGCACCAAAAAAUAUCUUGAAUCAAAUUAACCCUUGGCAAUUGUUGAUUUUCUUUAGUAGGGUUAAAUGUGGAAAAUCAAUGUCUUAAUUGUAGUCUUGUUUUCCAACCAGUCAUAUAAACACCAUGUAUUGAAUUAAGAUAGAUUUUUAUGUAUUUCCCACUAAUUAUACAUCCUUGUUGUAACUAUUGUAUCCUAAUGUAUUCAGGAUUGGAAAUGGAAAAAUUUGGUGGAAUAUGGUGGUACAACAUUAAUAAUGGACAUUUUGACCCAUAUUAUGUCACAAUUGGAAGUGGGAUUGAUAUUUUCAGCUACAAUUAUAUUGAAUUUAUAUAAGUGAAGAAUCAAGGCUGUUUUUAUAAUUGAAUUUUUAAUUUAGUCAAUAUUUUCUCUUAAGACUUUGAUUAAGUUCCCAGAUAAAGAGUCCCUUUAUUCUGUUUAUUUUUANNNNNNNNNNNNNNNNNNNNNNNNNNNNNNNNNNNNNNNNNNNNNNNNNNNNNNNNNNNNNNNNNNNNNNAUGAAUGAUUUAUCAGUCAUCACAAAAUAGACAAUUUUGAUAUAAAACAUCACAAGGAAAAUAUGAUCACUCCUUUAACAUCAAACUGUGAUGUUUUUACUUUGGGCGGCCGCUGUGUAUCUUGAGAUAUCUAAUUAAUCAAACAACACCCAACAAAGUACUUUGUACUUUUAAUUACGCUAAUGAUGAUGUUCGGCUACUUUGGCACUAAUAUACUUACUUUUUUUUAUAACUUGUUUUACCCCUUCAAACGAAGGACAAGGUUAUCCUAAUAUUGAACCUUUUAUUUGGCUUUCUUAUGUUAAUAUUCCGUUAUCAUAUAAUUAAAUGACCGAAACGUCGGACCAAUGGGACGUCGGACCAUUUAGGUGUCAGAAUAUUGCGAUAUCGGAAUAUCAUAGCUUCAUUUUCACUUGUAAUCUCAUCAUUCUUACAAGAACCACUUCCUUGGCAUGGGCAUAUAUCAUUACUGCAGAGGUUUGGCUCAAAGCUGACACAAUUAAGAUCUACUGCAGAUUGAUUUUAAGAUUGAGAAUCGACAUAAGGAAUGUGUCAAAGAGACAACAACCCAAUCAAAAAGCAGACAACGGCCGAAGACCACCAAUGGUUCAUCAAUACAGCGAGAAACUCCCACACCUGGAGGCCUUCUUUAGCUGGACCCUAAACAAAAAUGUAUACUAGUUUGAAGUGAUAAUGGUCAUCAUCUUAAACUCUGAAAUAUACACAAGAAAUUAAAAUAAAAAAUUAUACAAGACUUACAAAGGCCAGAGGCUCUUGACUUUGGACCGGUGCAAAAAUGAGGCGGGGUUAAACAUGUUUUUUUUUUUUUAUCACAACCCUCCCCCUAUACCUAUACCUUUGCGUCAAAUUAAAUCUUGUAGAAAGUAGGAUUACAUCAUACCAGUAGAUAAAAUUCGCAUCGGACCAAUGUUGCCUUUUAGCCAACCAAAGUCAUACAGAGAACCUUUUUUAUUUCUACCCCCAAGGGUUGACUGUCGGGAAUAGAAAUAUGGUCACUGUCUUCUUCUGACCGGCAGUAAAAUGUUUCCAAAGUGGGUGUCGGUUUGGCUGUGCGGAUGUAUCAAGUUCACAGUCACGUCCGGUCACAAUGGGGACGUUAAUUCCGUUGCCUCGUGUAGAGAGAGUGCCACGCUUUUGGCACGUUAAGAACCCUUGCAACAACUCUUUUGAGGGGUCUGUAGGUGGCCUGUUGAAAGGCAAAAUUUCUGUUCCUAUCCAAUAUAACCUCAUUUUCCAGUGGCAGUCCAAAUUUCCCCGACCAUUAUCCCGGAUGGCCUCUUUUAUGACAAGACCUAUCUAUUGUGUUUAUUGUUAACUUGUUCUCUUCCUGAACAUGCAUGAAAUAUUUGCCACUAGACGUAAAUUAAGCAACCAACAAUCAAUCAAACAAUUUAUUGUUUCUGUAGUUAGGACGACGUUGUCUUGGAUAAGGUUUGACCAUCAGAGGAAGAAAUAAUACCAUGUAGAACGUAUGCCCCAUCUUCAAUUUUUCUUAUAUAAACCUUAUAUAUCAUGUACUGUAGUACGACCCUAGAUUAAAACUGAAGAGGAAAGGUAACACACGGCCACUGAAAGCUUUAUUUUUUGUGAAGCCCAGGUGGUUGUGUGGUCUAGCUGGACGGUUACAGUGCAGGCGAUUAGGUGUCACAAUAUCUCAGUAGCAUGGGUUUGAAUCUCAACGAGGGAAGAAGCAAAUUUACAGAUCUAACAUUGUUGGGUUGAUGUUUAGACGAGUUGUAUAUAUAUAUAUAUAUAUAUAUACAUAUGUUAUAAUUACAAAUAAUUAAAGCAUUCAAGCUACAUGGUCUAGUCAUAAUGCGUCAAUAAGUAUUUUGAAUGACAUUUUUGCUGGUAAAGACUACAGAGCACUUAUACCAAGCAAAGAUAUUUCUUUUAAUCAAUCAUUGAAAAUGUACCUCCCCUUCUUGUAUGAAUGAUUUUUUAAUCUAUGAUAAGCUUUAGAAUAAUGUAUAAUGUUCUUAUAAUCUUCUAGGAUGAAAAAACAUGGGGGGAUCAAUUUACCAUGGGGUUCAAUUUUCCAUACAGGGGGAGUUCAGGGGGGGGGUUCAAUUUACCAUAGUGGUAUUUUGACCCUGGGGUCAAUUUACCAUGGGGUUCAAAAUACCAUAUGACACUGGGCAAAAAUCAAAGUUAAAUCAUUAUUCUAUCACACUCGGCUAAUAUAUCUAGAUGGUAUGAGGAAUUUUUGUGUAUAAUUAAUUUUGGUAUAUCCAUCUGCUACACUUCUGAAGCACCUGAGAUCAACUGCAGAUGUUGGGGUUGUGUUGCUCAGUCUUCUGGUUUUCUAUGUUGUCUUUUGUUAACUAUUGUUUGUUUGUUGGUCUUUUUCUUUUUUGGCCAUGGCGUUGUCAGAUUGUUUUCAACUUAUGAAUUUGAAUGUCCUUUUGGUAAUUCUUUUGCCUCUCUUUUACUGACGAUUGUAUGAGGGUAUGUUACCUCAUCCAUUUACCGAAGAUGGUAUGGAGGUAUUUUCCAUCUGAAUAUGAGGGUAUUUUCUGUCUGUCUAUUUUCCAGUAAUAAAAUGACAGUAUUUCUAUCUACAAAUUAAGAAUUAUGAUGCUUUAAGUUUUUUCUUCUGUCUUACACUUUUUACAAUGAUGGGAUGAGAGUAUUAUCUGUCUUAUCAUCAAAGCAUGCAGGUAUUUGUUGUCUUUCCAUUUUCCAAUGAUGAAAUGGUUGAAUGGUCAUUGUAUUUUCCUAUACAGUCUUGGAAUUUGAUUUCAUUUAGGAAUUAUUCCUAGUGAAAGCAGUUCUACAGUAUAGCAAUGAAUGCACUGAAGCAGAAGUUAUUUCACAUUAGAAUUUAAUAGUCUGGAUUGUGAUCAUUGCUUGUUGAUUAAAGUAGAAGUCCAUCCAAUUACUGAAAGUAAUCCUUUUUUGUAAUGGAAUAUAUCUGAUAACAGAGCUGUCUUUUAUUGGGCAGGGUUUGUUUAUUAAUGCCAGUUUAUUCUUCCUGGCCAUCAAAUACAAGUCUGUCCCGAUAGAUGUUGUCUUUCAUUGAAAACCACUAUUAUGCAAUAUUUCCAGAACAAUAUUACGCUCUAUUAUUCAAUUUAUUUUAAUAACGCACUAUUCACAAUGAUAUAUUUAAUCGAUGCAAAAAACGUUGUGCUUGAUUGUUACCCAGCAGUGUCAAACCACGAUAAUUUGGAUUUCAUAAAGCAAAUUUUAUUUGGUCAGAUAAAUGGGAAGAGUGAAAUUCCACAGCAGUCACAAAUUAAAUCAUCAUAUAUAGAAAGAAUAGGUCUCAUUAUGUACAUUCGUUGAAUUGGUGAUGAGUUUGUAUUUGUCCCUCAGGAUUCUCUGUAUCGAAUUCUGAGUUUGUUAUUCCAAUAAUCAGAUUCCGUUUUCUUUUGUUACGACAGCCUACCCAGAAACUACUUCAUUAUCAUGCAACAUAUGUAAUUGUCUUGUGUUCGCUGUGGGGCAACAGUGACCUUUGGUAUUAAUUUGUGUAUCAUAUGAUUGAUAUUGGUUGUGCAACAUGUAAAGUUUUGUUGUCUAUACAGUAUUAUAAAGUCAUAAAUUCAUGAUUGACUCUUUCAUAAAUGGUUGUGAAAAACCUGUCUUGGCUUUCAUCUGUUUUUAGUGAAUUAGCUGAUUUAAUUUCUUAUUUAUAAACAAUUUUGAGAUGCUCAAGUAGCUGAAUAAUUGACAUUUUCUUCGAUAGUUUAAACUCUAAGCACUUUGUAUAAAAUGUUUAUCGAAAGAAGAUUAUACUGAUGAACCUUAAUGCUUAGAGCACUAAAAACAGUGUCACAAGAUAUUAAACAUUUCUUAUUAAAUGUUUAUUAGCUUGAACAGAGAUGAGAUAUGUUUUUGUAGCUCAUAUGGCAUUAAUGGCAACAUAAGCUAUACUAUCAAGUGGUGUGUUAUGCCUUUAGGCUUUCUGUUUUCAGUGGCAGAUUUAGGGGGCUUCUAUAAUUUAUACCCUAUUGUCUUUGGUCUGGGUGUGUUUGAGUAAACUUUUGAUUACUGCAUAAUCCAACAGACUCAUCAACAUUAUCAACAACCAACACUGAUCUCAUCUGAAAAAAUAAGCCAAAGAAAAACCAAUAAUAUACAAUACAUGGUCCAGGUAUCAUGAUUGCCUUACAUGGAAAAGUAUGGUGUGGUUAUAUAAGUGUUAUGUGCACCUCCUUUGUCCAUCUAAAUCUGACUAUUUGUCAUAAUACUAAAACACACAAUAAAAAACCUGCACAGUGCUGCCACCAACAGGAAUAUUAACUUGGACAAGGAAAUAAAAAAUGACACAUAAUUCACGAAACAUUGACAAAAUGUGCUCUAGAGGUAAAGCUUAGGCAGUUUACAUAAUACAGAAUUUUAUAGAUCAAUAUUCUUAUUUGGACAAUAAGGUAUUGGCCAGACAUUUUUUUAACAAUCGUAAUUAUAAAAAGAUAUACAAAUACUUUUUUACCAGUUAUUAAAUGACAGAGAUUCAUAUCUAUUCAAAAGGCAUCAGCUGAAAGGGUCAACUAAUUGAGUUUUGAUCUUGGUUAACCAUGGUCAGACAUAUGACCAUUGUCAACCAUGGUCACAAAGGUGGAAAACCAUAGUUGACCAUGGUGUAAAGCUCAUCCAACCAUUGUUUGACCAUGGUUAUCAAUGGUUAGCUAUGGUAACAAUGGCCAACCAUGGUUGCAUUGAAUUACAAAAAUAUACUCCUUACUUGGGACAGGCAUAUACAGAACGUUGAGGGUUUAACACUCCCCUAACCUGGUACAGUGUGUAAUUGUAUGACUUAAGAACAGACUAAAUUCAUUAGAUUGGAACAAAGCAUUAAAAAACACCUUAACAACAGACAAAUGAUACAAAGUACAGAUCUGAGAGCACUCUCGUUUAGAGCAAAUAACACAAAUAAAAUCUUGUACCUAAAUACUGAAAUUUUUCAUUAUUUUUAUUUCCAAAUUGUAGACUAUUUCAAGUGUCUUAAUUUACAUACUUCUUUUGAGGUACAUGUUAGAGGCUAAUACCAAUUUAACCCUAAUUAUAUAAGCACAAUUUCAUCAUUUCAUAUAGAUUUUUAGAGUGAACAAAUUCUGUAGUAAUUCGUUAUUCUAAUUACUCGUGUUGCACUUUUGAUAUUGUAUAUAUGUUUCUAACUUAAUGUGCAAUACUUAUUUCUUUGGUACAUGUGGGAAUUGUAAACAAUUACUUAUUAUCGACAAAAUCCCACAUGUUUUAAUUAUUCAAUAUCUUAUCUUUGUGAAAAAAUAGGGCUUAAUUUAUGGCUCCAAUACUGAAUUCCAUGGUGGAUUAUUACAUGUGUAGGUUAUGCUAAAGAAAUGGUACAUUAUAUACCAUUACAAGAUCUUAAUUACAUCUUUUGUUCCAGUUCGAGAUAUUAAUUGUAUAAUGGUAUAUUAAUAUGGUAUUGUUUGCCAAGGUGAAAGGACUCAAGCGAAUUGUAAACAUAUUAGUUGUUGAUGAUAUAUAUUUCAUGGUAUUUCAUGGUAGAUAUUUACUUCCUUUAUUUGGUCACAUAAUACAUGACCUUCUGUUGCAUGGUCUUACUGUUGUUUAUAUUGUGAGACAUAUUUAACUAUCUUAAUUAUUUAUAACACAACUUUGAUGCACUUGAACUGUAUGUCAAAGGUUAAGAAGAAGUGAAUUACCAAAUAGUCAAAAAGGUUAUGUAAUGUUCUGUCACAAAACAUAUUAUUAACAAAAAUGGAAUGGAUUUGUCUCAUUGGCACUUAUACCACAUCUUUAUAUAUCUAUGGAAUCCUUAAUUUUGGACAUUUACCAAAAGAAAAAGUUUAAAAGCCUCCUCGGGUAAUUGAUUGUUGGACUAUUUGAAGUUUUAUGAAAGAGGAAUUCUCUUGUGGUCCUGACAUAAUUUUAAACACAGAUCUGAUACAAUUUGAUGAAAUUCUAUUAACAUUGAGGGCUUUUAUUUCCACUAAGGACUUACAUUUUAUGUAAGACUAGUUUCAAGUUUUAUCUGCAUUAAAUCAGCAGAGAAUAUAUAAUUUUAGAGGCUGCAGCUGUUUUUAUUGGUCUCUGACUUGCAUACAGUGCAAAGGACAUAGAAAUACAGGAAUUGUAUCCAUAUGUGGGAACUUAAGCACAAAUCUUGUCAGACUUUUAUGAAACCAUUAAAAAAAAAAUGCUAUCAAAUGUUUUUAAAGUAUAACAUUUUUUUUUUUGGCUGACCUAUCAAAUCACAUUUUUGCAAUAAACAAAUAUAUAACAUUUUUUUUGGAAUUCACAGUAUUUUUAAAGUUUGUAAAAUAUUUGAGCAGUUGGAGAUGUGGAAAACCGUGAUAAAAGCAAUGAACUAUAUAAAUGUGUUGUAUAACAGAGCCAAUGCAAAAAUGACUUUGAAUUCAUGAAUUUUUAUGUGCAUUUAUUAUGCAAUUGGUUUAUGUGCAUUAUUAAUUGUUUUUCAUCAAAUGAAGCAUGCAAUUAAUGGAAAUGUCACAUUAUAUGAGAGUUCUAAUUAAUGUGAUCUUAUCUGUGUUUUCAAUUAUAAAAAUGACUAAAGUGGAUUUAAUCUGUCAGUUGUCUCAGAUUCAGUACUAAGUACAAUGUACUAAAAACUCAGGUUAGCAGUAGUCUAAGAAAUUUUGUAUUUUGUUUGUUUUUAAAUUUCCAUAAGCAAUAGAUCAACUGAGGAAUAAUUUAAUGUAAGAUGUCCAUCGACUCCAUGUCUGUCUGGUAUGAUUUAUCUGACCUUGACCUCAUUGUCAUAGAUCUUUCAAAAUGUUUCACAUUAUGUGAUACUUGUUGUAAAAUCUUAAUAUUUAGGACUUUCAGCAUAAAUAAAUGGUUUUUAAGUUAAUUACAGAUGAGACAUUUCAGCAUGUGGACUCUUGUUGGUUGUUUCAGUUUGUUGGGUUGCUGUUUCAUUUAUGUGUACUAAACAUCUUUAAUUUUUUAUUCACAUUUCCCAUCACCAAGAAAUUAAGCCUUAUAAACAUUGUUCAUUAUACUUCUUCACCUUGGACAGUUCAUAUAAACAUACAUUCUUUUCAAGUACAUUUUCUGAUUGAUUUUUUCAAAUGAGUUGAUUAUGUGUUUUUUAUAUGGUUUGUAAAACUAAAUACAGAAGUAGAAUUCCUUUAAAUAACGCUAUAGAUACUGGUGGUAUCGGUGAAUUAAAAUAAAUAAAAUAAAAUAGGGCAUCCGGAAUUGACAGAUGAUGGGCUAGUCAUUCUGACAUUAGUGAAGCUCAAUAUCUGUUUUAAAAUUGAUGGACAAUUAGUUAACAGGAGACAGACAAAUGUAUCAAGUUUAACAGAUAAAAGUGAAAUGUUCUGAAGGUGUUCUCGUCCUUGAUUGUCCUGACUGAUUGUCCUGACGCCUACAGACAGCAUGCAACACAGGUUUUCAACAUUUUAUAUUCUCAAAUGAUUGUGAUUUUAGUGUGAUCAACCUUUAUAUAGAAAACAAUUGAAAAUGAGAGAAAAUAAAUCCGUGAUUGGAAAUUGAUUUAGUAGGUUCACAUCAUAUGGCUGGUUUGAUUAAACUUAAUUGAUCCUUUUCUGUGUGCAGUUCUAUCGGAAUGGUAAAAUCGGUAAAAUGGUGGCAUUGGUAGUUGUCAGAUAGGUGACACUGCAUCAAUUAUAUCAAGACGGAGUAAUAGGAUCAAUAUGUUUGCUUGUUUCAUCCUUCCAUGACUGUUGAUAACAGACGUUUCUAUUUUCAGUUUGGUUGAUGUACAGAUAGUUAAAACAGAAAUAAAACUUCAUUUAAAUUUAAACUGCCAUUGUACAUGCUAGUUUGCAUGAUACUUAUCACUUAGGCUCAUUAAGACGGGAGGAACAAGUACUUUGACAAUUAAAGACUUAAUUUUACUUUUAGAAACUUGUAUGUAAAACUAUAAAAUACAUGCUUAGAUCAAAUUUCAGAUAGCUAUACUUCAGGGCUUAUAGUAUGUCUGAUGGUACACUCAAGUAGAGAGAUCUGAAGGGAUGUACAACAAUAACAGACAGAUCAAAAAGACAAGUUGCAUUUUUUAUUUUUAGCUUUUUCAGUCCAAUUGGUUAUUUUUAUCAAGCAACUGUACUAGCUGUGCUCAUUAUAAUUUGGAAUACAAUUUUGAUCAAGUCCAAAAGCCCAUAAUUUCGAGACAAAUCAGGGAAGCAGAACCAAAUUCCCAUGGUUAAUCAGAUUGUUUAUAAUUCACAAUGGUUGUUAAGUUGACCAUGGUCAACUGCUUGAGAUUUGAGCUUGGUCAGCCUUGGUCACAAAGGAAGAUAACCAUGGUUGUCAUAUUGACCAUGGUCAACCACCUAUGAUUUGAGCUUGUUCUACCAUGGUGUUCUAAUAUGGUCAACCAUGGCAAAACAAAAGUAGAAAACCAUAUAGUUGACCAUGGCUUAAAGCGCAUCCAGCCAUGGCUUGACCAUGGUUAUCAAUGGUCAGCGAUGGAAACCAUUGUCAACCAUGGUUGCAUUUUGACAGAUCACCACAAGAGACCAAAAGACACAGAAAUUAACAACUAUAGGUCACUGCACUGCCUUCAACAAUGAGCAAAACCCAUACCACAUAGUCCGCUAUAAAAGUUUUUUUGUUUGUAUAUCUGUUUGUUGUUGAACGAGGGAAUCACAGAAUGACUGAUAAGUGUAAAACUAAGUGGCUCUGACCACUUUAUGGUGGGGCCGUAAAAUUGAAUGACAGAUUGACAAAUAAACGUGAAUCUCUAUGGCCCCAAUCACUUUGUGGCAGAGCUUUAAUAAAACACAUAAAAUAAAAUUUGGGUGCCUGUUUAAGUACAGUAUUAUCUGUGUUACAGAUGACCAUGCAUAUUUUCCAAUUGGCUUUUUAUACCAUAAUCCCAUCCUAUUAUCCUUGUUUUUGACCUCAUUGACAUAAACAUUUCACAGAAUUAUUACUUGUGAUGUGCAAUACAAAUGGUGCUACAUGAUGAGAAAGAUCUACUAACCUUAUUACAUUUUUAUCAGUAGACAAAUAAUGCUAUAACCCCUAUAGAUGCUGGAAAAAAGAAAAAUUGUUUCACUUCAUCGGACUUGACCCCAGGGUUCUACCAGCUAGAUAAGUAUUGUUGUUGCUUACAUAGAACACAAAAAAACUUGGUGGUCCUAUUAGCUUAAGGUCAGUUAAUCUCAUCAUCAAAGGUCCUUUUGAAUAAAAACUUGGUGGUCCAAAAUAUGGCUUAAUGUCAAUUAAUGCAAUUAAUGGUCUGUUUGAAUAAAAACUUAGUGGUUCUUUUUGCUUAAUCUCAAUUAAUCUCAUUAAAAGUCCAUUUGAAUAAUUAGCAAACAGUUAAUAUUGAUUCAGUCGAUAAAACAUAAUAUUCCACAUAUUUAACCCGAUUAAUCUGUUAAAGUACUGGGUAUUUAAUCCACUUUCAUGGCAGUGUAUAUAAUGAGUAGUUCACCCUUAAAUCAGAUAAUCAAGUCUGUCCUUCUCUCAAGUAAUUGAUGAUAUCUUAACAUGAAACCAUCACCUAACAAUUGUUAAAAUGGAAAGGUUUUGGAUGAAAUAUUUUGUUCAGUUGGUAUCAUUUUCUCUAUUAACCUUGUGUUAGCGGAUACUCUCCAUUUGAAAUUAAGCUUGAAAUGUUCCUCACCUUACACAGAUGGGUGAGCUUCAAUAGAAAACAGUUAGAGGCGGCUCCAAAAAAUAGUGAAAAUUUGAUAUUUUAAAGAUAGGGGUUGGGUACUUUUAGUGCUGGAAUGCCAAACAUAGGUUUUUGUGUAUUGUCUUGGAGCUUUAAGGCUUACAAUAUUAAAAAGUUUAACAUCUAUGAUUUAUGGACCUCCAAUGGCCCAUGAAAAUACAGUAUUGACUGAGUUUCGCUUUUUGCGUUUAAGGUAUUAUAAAUGUGAUAUCAUAAGACAAUCUUGCUUUCUCUGUUAGUUAAGUGACAAAGUAACCUUCAUUUCGUUUUUGUCACCCAUCCCUAUGAUAAGAUCUAGCUUGCUUAUGUUACCUUUGUGGUAUUGUUAUUUAACGGUGAUAAAGCAUUUCCAUUGAGAAAUUAAUUCAUGUUGUUAUUUCAUCAAUUUAAGUACUCACUGAUCCAUUUUGGUUCAAUCUUUUUAAAUUCAAAUCUAUUGUCUAAUAGUUACGCAGAUGAAUAAGUAACAAUAGUUCUGUGGUUUCUGAAAUCUUAUUAUUUUCCCGUUAGUUCGUACAAGUAUAAAUGCUGUAGAGACUUGCAUCAGCCAGAUUUGGGUUUUGUUUUAUGUAAUACAUUGAUAAGUAUCAUAUUUUAAAUUUAGCUGACCUUGCAAGAUUUAGUAAUCCAUUUAAAAAAACAAAUGUUUGAAUCAGGAAUUAAGUGCAUUGAUUAUUGCACAAUCAAUAGGUCUUUGUGGUCGUAACUCCUUCAGUUUUUAAACUUUUUUGGGGGCAGAUUUUAACAUGAUGGACAGAAAUUUGUAAUCGCUGACUUAGUUGCAUAAUUGCAAUACAAGCAUGUUUGUCUAUGUCAUGUAAUUUGAAUACAAGUAUGUUUGUUCUACAUGAUCUCUUUCAUACAAGAUGUUUUGUGAUCUUCACUGUAAUUCAAUAUGUUGUUGAUUAAAUAUUUAGUUACUGAAAACAGGUCAUUUCCUUUAAAUGUCCUUUUUACCACAUUUUAGAUUUUUUAUAAAUCAGAACUUACUAGAUCAUCAGAUAGGUAAUGGUGUAUACCUCCUUUGUAGAUAUAAAACAUUAACUUGGCUGUUUGUUUGACCAUAUGUCUGCUCUUCUGACAAAUUCUGUCAUACUUUUCUCUGGUACUACAAAAUAUGAGUUCAUAUUUGGUCAGAAACUUGACAGCCAAAAGUUGGAAUGUAGCUGAGCUCUAAUGGGUUCUGUCAGUCCCCUACUAUCUGUUUGCAGACAGUUUAAAUUUUCAAAAAGUGAUGAGCUCUUUAGCAGUCUGUCAGAACCUACUUUUUGUUUUUGAAUAUUUUAAAUUAUGAGUGGGGUAUGCUAAGUAAAAUAUAAAAGCAUGACAAAAUGUGCAGAUUCUUUGGACUUGCUUUAUAACAGCCCAAUGCAAAGUCCCAAAUGACAUUAUCAGAUGGCAUAGGAGUUUGGAGCUAUAAGAAAAUCCUAUUUUGGUCUGCUCACUUACUGUGUUAUCUUCUGUAAAUCUUUUUUGCAUGUCUUUGACAAUUGACAGUAAAUUUCUCUUUAAUGGCCAACGAUGGGGGGAAUUCUUAUUGUAAUGCAUCAGUAUAAAGUGAAAAAUAGGUCAACAAUUGUGGUUAAAAUAUCUGUUGAAGAGAAAUUAAUAUUGCUUGCUGAACAGUGUGUCUUACUAUUUGUUAAAUCAACUAUAUGUGAUCUAGUAACCUUUGCAUGUUAUUAAAAAAAACUGAAAUCAAUUUGAGGAGAAAAUUCCUUCACCUUCGAUUGUUCACAAUUGAAGAACUAGUCCUUGUAGGUGUUUUCUACUACAACCUAGACGAUAUCGAGUAUCCGUAAAAUUGCAAAGAUACGACAUGCAUGUCUAGAUGUUUUUUCACUUCUCAAAGGUUAUGUUUUCAAAAUUACUUUACAUAAUGUAGAUAUUUGUGAUGUAUUGAUGUUCUUUUAUACUGAAAGUUUUUUUUUAAAUAUUGAACAUAAAAGCCUUUGUUUUGUUAUUUUUUUACCUUAUUAGAUGAAAGAAAUCAGUCUGUAUGCCCAUUAUUAAGUUUAAUUGAAGAGUAUUUGAUAUUUAAAUAAGCGUGAAAAUUUGACAAUUGCAAACAUUGUCACCAAUGUCUCUGUUAAUGUUAAAACAUGAUAACAUUAUGUCACAACAGAUUUUUGCCUAUUUUAAUUCAUGUUUCAGGUAAUAUAUUACCAUUUUACAACCAUACUAGACUGAUUUGAUCUUUUUCUGUUUUUUUGUGUGAUUGUUUGAUGUUUGUUUUAAAAAUUAGGUUUUUGAUAAGAUUUUUUUGUAGAUGUACUCUUAUUUGUUCAUUGCUCAUGCAUUUAUGAAAAUAUAUCAUUAAUAUUUGAUACAGAUGAUAAAAGCAAUAUCACAUCUGCAUUAAACGACAUGGAAAUAUUGCAAUUAACUGGUGGAAAGUUAAAUUCCUAUGAGAUUUACCUGUCAUGAACUAUUUCUACAUGGAACUUAAAAUAAGAAAUGAUGAUGAAGGAUUAUAAUGAGGAUAACAGCUAGAUAUACGCUUUGAAUCGAUUUUGACCAAACAGAAAAUUAGUGUGUGUUUUCCCCCUCUUUUGUGCCCCAAGGGAUGUACUACGAGAGACAGCAUGCUAAGGUCUGUCCAUCAGUGUUUGUCCAUCAGGUCUUGUUACCGCUCUAGAGCUAACAAUUCUUGCACAUUUUUUUUUAGACUAAUAUUAUAGAUUUAUAUCAGCUAUGCCUGAGACAAGUUCAAAAAAAUCACUGCUGUGCUGAUCAAUUAAUUGUUAUAAGAGUUGUGCCCCUUGGAAAUAUUGUUUAUAUGGUUUUUGAAUUUGAUUUUUGGUGUUUUAACGCUCUAAGCACAAAUUUUAAGCUCUUUCCUAGCAGCCAGUUUUUAUUGGUAGAGGAAGCCAGAGUGCCGGAAGAAAACCACUGACCUUCGAUAGGAAAACUGAAGAUCCUAGUCAAUAAAGAUUGGAAUCGAGUGCACCCGCAUAAGCAGGGUUCAAACUCACUACCUCAGUGUUGACUGGCUAGUGAUAACAGUAAUAACUGCACUUAGACCACUCAGCCACUGAGGCCGCUUGUAUAUAUGGAAAGUUGAAUAGUUAGUACACCUGCUAUUUUCAUUUUUUUCCAUUCUUUAAUUUUGAGGCUUCUGAAUCCCAAACAUGAAUUUUGCCAUAUCAUUUAAAAAAUACUUUAAAGCUGCUUAACUUUCCAAAAAUCAAGUUAAAAUUUCAGAAUGUCGAAUAUAUAGAAUGACAACAUGAUAUGAUAUGUUCAGUCUACUUCUUUGUAUUGGAUAGAUAGCAUGUCUAGCACAUUACUAAGGAAAUCACACUUCAGUCAAUGUUACAAUAAAACUAAUUGAUCUCAUUUAAAAAGUGCUAGACCUGAAGUUAACCGAUUUAGCUGAGCAAAUUGAACAUAUCAUACCAUGUUACAAAAUGUAUUAACUUGUAUGCUCAUUUUAAUUUAAAAAAAAUUUUAAAUUUUGAAACUUGACUUUUGGCAAAAGUUAAGAGUCUGUAUCAUUUAACCUACAUUUUAUGCUUGAUUGGUUUUGGAACUUCAAUUUGAUUCUUGUUAUAAAAAAAUGAUAAAAUGAAAGAGAUUUCUUAGAAGUUUUGUUUCAGUGAACUGUGUUAGGGAGCAUUCUUGAAAAUUUGCAUUGAAAAAAAGAUUUGAAAAAAUUAUGCAGUAAAUAAAUGUUGUUUGUUGAAACAAUAUUCCUAAUAAAAGUAAAAUGGAUAUUUCUAAAAUGUAGUACAUCAAUAAGUUUGUAAUUAGUAAAGUGUAACAACUAAUAUCCUUGCCCACUCCAUACUCGAUAUUGAAGUUUCAUGUAGGCUUCAUUACAAUACAUCAUAUACUAAUACAUUUGUAUGUUAAAUUACAUGGAUAAAAAGAACAUCUGCCAGGAUUAUUACGCCAGAAACGAAAUUAAUCUGAUGGACUAAUUGAAAAUUAAGGUAGAAUCGGCACCAAUAAUAAUGUUGCAGAUACUGUAUUUACAGGAUAACACAAUGUAUUACUGUAAAUUAUAUAGAAAAACGAUGCUCAUGGAAUUCAUUUGACAAUCGAUGUUCAUCCAUAAAAAUGUUGUAAUGACAAAAAUAUAGAUUUUAUUUUGCAGCCAUUUAUAUCUGCCGAUCCCUAUCACACCAUCUAUCUAUUGCUUGAAUCCUACUGGUGUAAUUUAGUUAUUUUCUAAUAAUGCUUCCAUAGUUAUCAAACCAUAUAUCACAAGUGAAAAGUUGAGUAGGAAAUUAGGAACAUCAUAUUGACAGAUUUUCUCCACGUUAUCACAUUUUUUUACCUCCUUGUCAUCGUGGUGCUGUUAUGAGCACUAAUGGAUCAUCACAUUUAUUUAUUUUAUAAAACUGUACCUUGAAUAUGAUAUUAGAGGAUAUUGUAGAUCAAAAUAAUGAUUGUUGUUAUUUGAUCGGUUCUGAAGAGUUUUGAGUAGACUUUAUUGUAGUAAUAUCUUUGCCUUUAGUUAGACAGAUUUAGGGCAGGUAAUAGCAUAUUAAAAAUCAGAUUACAAAAGGAAUGGCAUCUCAUAAGGACGUAUCAUUGCUGAUGCAAAUGUCAGCCCCACAAGCACUGAUGUCAAAAGUAUAUUACUUAUAAUGCCCUAGGAUAAAUUGAUUUUGUUAUGUCUCUAAGGCUAAAUUAUGUGGAUAAUAAAAAGUUCAGACAUAAAGCUUUUCUACAUUUUUAUACAUGUAGAGAGUGCAUGUCUCUUUUCCAUGGCAAAUGUAAGUUAUUUAAAGUUCAUGACUCUCUUUUCACUUUUUUAUCAUUCCAUUAUACAGCGGACUUUCUAUAUACUGUUUCUUGUGGGUUGGGGUUUGGUAGUAGGGUCUAUGGAGGUCUGAGAUGCAAAACCUUAAAUUUAAGGAAAAAUUGCACAUUCCAUUAGUUAAUCCCCUGGGAAAAGGGAUCAUGGUUGACCAUGGAUAAAGCAUGGUCAACAAUGGUCAACCAUGAUCAUUAUACUGCAUGCUGACCAUGAUUUCACAAACAUCAACCAUGGUCAAAAGCAUGGUUAUUUAUUCAGCCAAAUUUUUCUGUGACUUUGCAGUAUGACAUCUUUCUAUUAUACCCUUAAAAUCCUUAUAUCUAUAUAGAAUACAGACACACAGUGGGGUAAUAAUAGUGGUCAGUUUUAAAAUGAUAGUUUUCUUGAAAAUAAAAUGCAUUUUGAUAUUGUUUUAUGUGAUACUGGAAACAGGCUAUUAUUUGAACUUGGAAUUAUUUUUAAUUAUGGAAUUUGCAUAAUUUCUUUUGCAAGAAAUUUUUAAUAAAUUACAUGUUUAUUUGGUAUUAUAAUGUUUUAAGCGGUUAAUGACACUUUCCAUGCAAUGUAUUUUGUAUAGAUAGUGUUGUGCGCGGCACAGUACAUUCUAUUGAAAAUGUACUAUCUUCUUUGUAAUAGAAAGUGUUGUGCGCAGCACAGAACAUUUAAGUACAGAAUAAACAUGGAAUUUAUUAAAAAUUUCAAGCACAAGAAAUUAUGCAAAUUCCAUAAUUAAAAAUAAUUCCAAGUUCAAAUAAUAGCCUGUUUGGGGUUAAAUAAAGAUGAAUUAAUUUAAAACACAUGUACAUUCUUAUUCUAAUUAUUAUAUAAUAAUUUUUUUUUAUUACUUCCUAUGCAAUACUCAGACAUGACAUAUAAUACCUGGUACCUUUUGAAAAUCUAGAAGAUAUCUUUCACCUGAAUCGCAUAUAUGUAUUUUCUAAUAUUUAUUUAAUUGUGACAAUUUUGACAAUUUAAAUCUUGUAUGCAUUGAGAUGAAUGUUUUAGAAUGUGUAUUGCAGUGUCUACCUGUGAAGACAGACAAAUCGGUCAGACAGGUGUGAUCUUCUAAUAGUCAGUUGUGCAAGAUUUUAAUCUCCUGAUCAUAUCAGUUUCAUUAUCACAGGACCUAAUCCCUCUUUAUUUUAAGUAAUAAAUGAGGUACUUUGUUAGAAAUAUGUGCAAACAGUUAUCUGAAACAUGAGACGAUUUUUGGGUUUAUUACUUGAGAUUGCAGGUAAAUUAUGGGAAUUAACAUGGGCAGUCAUUAAAUAUAUCAGAUUUUAUUAUUUGAACACAAAUUGAAUGGUCUCAUGAAACGUGUAAAGUGCUCACUUCUUUUAAAAGAAUUCAAAAAUAUGAUUUUUAUCAGUUUUGACAUUUUGUUUUUUUUGAAUAUUUGAAGAAAUCUAUAUCUUUAAUUUCAAAAAUAACAUUGAUCAUGUUUCAAAAGUCAUAAAUAUCAUGGAAAGAAAUUCCUGACAUGUUAAAUAUUAAAUUAAGUUUUAAUAGUUUAAAUUAAUCCAUGAUGUUAAUGCCACCUGGUGGGUUGUGGGAAUUUGUUAAUAAUCUUGUAAUGAUUUAGGAAUGAAUUUUGUCUUAUAUAUAUAUAUCUACCCUCCAAAAGUUUGACAGAGAAAUAUAAACUAGAUAACACAUGAACAGGUUGAAAAAGUUUAUUUUCUUUCCCUGAUUUAAAUGGGGUGUAGUCUUUAGUCUUUAAGUCCCAGUCUUUCACUAAUUGAAAACUUUGUAGUUUUGAUUUAUGGAAAAGUUGUCUUUUACUGUAAGAUUGCAUGAUCUAUAAUGCUGGUAUAUUUUUUAAACAAUUUGUUUUUCAACUGUAUUUCUCCAAGCUUUUAGAUCUACAUCAGUUGUGAAAGUUUCAAAGAGCAUUGUUAAUGUUGUUCACAAAUGAUCUGCUGAAACUCCUUUUGGUCAAUUGGAUUUUUUUUAUUGCAAAAAUCAGGUCAUUUUGGAGUAUUUUAUGAAGCUUGUUUUUCAAAAAAAAAUAUGACUGGUUGCUGUAAAUGAAAAAGUUUCAACCUCAAUCAAUUUCAGAUUCAAAAUUUCAUUGAACUAUUUGCAAUCUAAUUGCUGUCUACAUUUCACUUUAUAAACAGAUGAAGUUGUUAAAAGAUAAAUGGUUUUCCACCCUUUUGAUUUUUAAAUGUAUCAGCCUGUCAAGAAGUUCAAGCUACCAUCUUGACUAUGUCAUCUUCACCCAGUAAAUGUCAGUUUGAUUGUUACAAGAUCAAAGAUUGCACUGAAAUCUUAUCCAGAGUUCAAUUUUCUCUCUUGUCAUUCCAAGUUUCACCAGUCUGUCAGUUUAAAUCUCCAAUUUCUGUUUGUAUGCAGAAAGAUACCUAUAGUAAAUAUAUACUUGUGAAUGACUUCAUUGUACAUGUCUGUAUCUUGUCUGCUUUUCACUCUCUCCUAUACUUUUUAACUUACCUGUCUUUAAAUGAAAAUUAAUAAAUAAACAAAUUGAAAUUAAGUGAUUAAUAAUUAAGUCAAUUAUGAAUUGGUUAAUGUCCUGUUGCAAAUAAUUCAUGCUUAUAUACAAGAACUACGGGCGGAUUCAGAAAUUUUCAGAAGAGGGGGCCACAGACUGCCCCGCCAUUCCAGUCAUGCUUCAGUGAUGCCCUAUAUAAUCAACCAUUGUUUUCCCUACAAAAUGGGGGUCUGGGUUCCAUACCCCUUCUGAGUAAAAAUUAAACAAUUAAUUAGUAUAAGAACUGAUUGGAAGGGAAGGACAGGCAAUUUUGACUGCUGCUAAAUAUGCAUGAUAGUGGCACAUUUUUAAUUUUACAUCACAAUUAACAGGCCACACCUGGGAGACUUUUGGCAAGUCCCCUCCCCAAACCAUAACUAUUAAUAAAAAGAACUCUCAUCUUGUACUCUCAAUCACUCUGAAGAAUAACAUCAAAGAAACAGUGAAAGCACUUUACUUCUGUUUUUUUUUUCCAUUUGUAACUCAUGAUUUUAUGUCAUGAAUUAUAGCACCUUAUGCUUUCUUUGCAAUUAGAUAAAUGACAGCUAUAAUAUGUUAACAUGGCAGGUUUAAAUCAUUGUUAAAAUUUGUACCUAAGAAAAGUAUUGCUUCCCUUAUCUCAUGUCUGUUUAUAUAAGUGGUUGUUGUCAGGUUCUUCCUGUAUGGAUUUUAUGUUAAUAUUAAAGAUUUGUUUGAAAUGAUAAUUAAUUAAUCCUUUUUGUUUGUCAUUGUAAAUUAGGUUUUAAUUUCGAAUUUGGUUUGACUUGGGAAGUCAUUCUGCACUUCAUUAAGACUUCUGGGCACCAGUGUAAAAUUUUGUGGUUUUAAGAUUUUAGAUAAAGACUUUGUUUUAUAUGUAACAAUUGUCUUAUACAGCAACAGUAAGAUUGGUGGCUCUAAAAGUAGAAUGUUACGUAACAGACAAGAUUAAAUAAAACAAAGAAAAGAAAAUAAUAAAUAAAUAAACAGGAUAUUGAAGAAAUAGAUAUUCCAUAGAAAAUUUAAUUGUUUAUUGGGACUAUAAUGAAUGUAUACAAAUUGAUGUACCCCAGAACACCCUUGGUUUUAAGAACUGUCUCAUAGGGGUAACCUUUUUAUUGGAUAUGGGUCAAUAUCUUUAAUUGUUUUUACAUAGGCGGUAAUGGUAACGUUUUUUCCUGUAGCUCAGUCCAUAUCGUAAACUUGGAUACGUAUGAUAGCUCGUUUCGAAGCUGUGACAUUUUCACACAUGUGGUUAAAUUUUCAGGGUAUGAAGUGUGAUUACUUUUUCUGUAAAUUAGCAUACCCCGAACAUCCUUUCGUGAUGCGGCUCCUUGUGGUAAAAUAUCCCCUUUUUAACACAAUAAGUUCUUUGAAAAUUUAAUACUUUGAACACAUUCAAUAGCUCCAUAGUUUUUACACAUUUAUUCUUUGUUCCUCUACUUUCCUAAUCACCACCAAUGGUUAUGCUCAGUCAUUUGUAAAAAAUAGAAACACGUCCAAUAUCACUACACAGAGAUUUUUUCUUUACACGUGACUUUUGAGUUCCUCAUUUCGAAGCGCAUUAGGGAUGUUGUCCCAUAUGUGUGUUUGGAGAUAUAAUAACCUCAACUUUAGAAGUGAGGGCUUAUUCUAAGUCGACUUAUAUAUUGUAAUCAUCUUCUCUGUAUAUGUCAGUCUGUUCAUCUAUCUAUAUAAUUAUGCUUGCCCAAAGUGUAUUUUGUCAACUGUUUAAAUAUAAUGACUUCAUAGUUGGUCACAAGCUUGAUAUUGAAGAGACAAGAGUUAUAAUGUGUGUUUGUGUGUGCGCACUGUUAGAAUUGUCAGACACCAGUACUUCUUGUUUUUCAACACUUUGAAGUUAUGAGUGCAUAAUCUCUGUAAAAAAUAUAUAUAAGGCAAAAAUUUUAAUUAUUAUUUUUUCCAUAAUCUGCUUUGAAAACCACUUCCUGAACUGCACCAAAUAGUUGUACAUGUAUCUAUACAAGUGAUUUUACCUGCGUCCCUUGACUUUUUGUUAACCUUCUUGGCAGCAAAUGGAAGGGAUUAUGAUGAGUUAUGUUUUAGUAUCAACCAAUUGAAGGCAGUAAUGCAGGUCCAGACCUCAGGUAUUGGUCUGGUUUUCAUUACUUGUUUCAUUUCUUAGACAAUAUAUAUAGCUAUAGUAUUAUUGAGUGUCUGAAAAAUGUAUAUAAAUGCAAAUUACAAUUAUUGGAGAGAAAACAAUGCAUAAGUUCUUAUCUGUGAAAGAUAUAUAAAGUCAAUAAAUAAACAUCCACUGGUUCUGCAGACAUACUUUUAUGGUGCACUUAUUGAAUAGGUUACCAAAAGUCAACAUGUCACAGUUUAGGGUUUGUACCGUAUUUGUUGAUGCUACAAAUUGAAAGAAGAGUUCUCAAAAGUGAGAUGUACCUUUCAGAUUUGUUUUUAAUCUGCAUAAAUCACAUGUGUCUUAUAGUUUCUUUUGUGUGAUCUCUCUCUGUUUUCCAACAAACUUUGUAUGUAACUUUAAAAGGUUAAGCAGAAUUAAAUGGAGUAUGCUGUUGUUUAUUUCAGACUUUUACCUUAUUCAGAAGUAAAAUGACAACAAGGAUUAAGAAUUUUUAUAGCCAUUUAUAAACAGUUCAAAUAUUCUGCCUGACUCAUUGGCACAUCUUCUUCUUACAUUUUAAAGUUUAAGAACAUUGUUAUUUUUGUAUAUAAUUUUUACUUUCGUUUCAGGCUACUACUUUGUAUUGUUUAGUGUUAGAAUGUGCAGCAGGAGGAGACCUUUUGGCUUAUAUCAAAACUCAUAAAGAAAACUGUUUACCAGAGGAAAAAGUCAGAGUAUACAUGAGACAAUUAAUUUCAGCAGUUCAUUAUUUACAUGAAAGGGGUGUGGCACACAGGUAAGUUCAUUUUUUAGCUCACCUGCCACAAUGGGCCAAAUGAGUUUUUCUCAUCACUUGGCAUUAGUCAGUUGUCAUCUGUUGUCUGUCGUCCGUCAUUAACUUUUUCAAAAACUUUCUCCAGGAAACUUCUGGGCUAAAGUUAACUAAACUUGGCCAAAGCCAUCAUUGGGGGAAAUUGUGAAAUUUGAAAAGUGUGACCAACCAAGAUGGCCAACCUGGCUAAAAAUAGAACAUAGGAAUAAGUUUUGUCUAUUAUUUUUGGAAUUGUUAUAAAUAGAGAAAAUAUGAGAGGAGCACACAUGUUCAAAAUAAUGAGCUCUUCCAAUUAUCAAAACUGUUAGACAAAUUCUUAUAGCAGUUAUUGCCAAUAAAUGCAUUUUAGCCUAUUAUCUUGAAAACUGAUAUUUAGAGAAAAAAAAAUUCCCCGUUAUACCUUUCUAUGAUUUAAAUUAUAAAAGAUAAAAAAUAAGACACUUUAAGAAUAACUGUUAACCUUAUCAUUUGCAGGGGUUCAAAUUAACAUUUGGUACUGGAAGGUCCAGGACCUUUGACACUCCAAACUGAAAGGUCCACAGCCUAAAUUCCAGGUCCUACUUUUACUUGAAAUAUUUCAUAACUCAGUAAGAUACAAAAUUUAUGUGCUUUUGGUGUUAGGUUAACUUGUUUCAUUGUCAGUAACUGUUGUAAAACAUGUUUAAUUAUACAUGUAAUUGUCUACAAUUUAUAAUAAAAUCACAUUAUCUUGUUUUUAUAUGGGGAUGGUGUCACUGUUGGUGGGUGGGUGUUGUCUUGUAGUUUUCACUAUGAUAUAAAGGGCUAUAUGUAUCUCUUUUUUAUAUUGUUCAUUUCGGAGUAUACAAUUUAAGUAGUAGUACAAAUUCAAAGCUAUUUAUUUGGUUCCUCUGUGAAAAUAAAUUAAGAAACUUCAAGAUUUUACUGGGCGGUCAUUCAAAAUUUAGAAGAAAUUAUCUCUUGGAAUUGUAGUAAUAUGUUUACACUAUAAAAAUAUCUAUAUGAAAUAUCAACAUUUAUUAAUAAUAAAGAAAAUUACUGUCACAUUUUAUUGAACAUGUUGAAUUUUGACAUGACAAUUUGUGAACUAAAAGUAAUUUUGAGUUUCUGUAUAAAAUAUUUCCUGCUUUUUCUUUCUUUUCCAUAUAUCUUUUGGGUUUUCAAUUCUAUUGUUAAAUUAUUUUAUCAUCAGCUGAGCAAUGUAUUUUGUCACCUGCCUGGAAUUAUUUUUUUUUUUUAUUGAAUUUGAUCGGCAAACCCGGAAUUACCCUUAUCCGCCUCUGGAAUCUGAUCCGGUGUUUUCCAGUUUAUGGCAUCCAUUGUUUUCAAUGUUGUUUUUGUCAGUCAGAUACGAUUUUACUCGGAUUUACACAUAACAUGCUUACGAUUUUCGGUAUAAAGAUAGCGGUUGAACAAAAUCAACAUCGUUGUCAUGAAUAAUAAAGAUGAACAUAAAUAUUGAGAUCGUUUGGAAAACAUUUUGGUUAAAAAAAUCGGCAAAGUUAAUGUUUGUAUUGUUAUAUGUAUAACCGACUUUAAAUAAAUCUUUUAUGCUUUAUGCUUUAUGUUUACUUUCUUUCUAUGCAAAGGUCCGUCGGGCGUAACUAGUAACCAAAACGAAGGUCCGAUUGCAAUACUGGAAGGUCGCGGACCUCGGACCACCGCUAAUUUGAACCCCUGCAUUUGACAAGAUUUUACCGUUAUUCCUCUUGAAGGAACCCCUAUAACAACCCUUAUACUACAUAAUGAGAACUCUGUUUUGAGUUAUAUACAUGAAUGGAGACAUAUAUACAAAUUUAAGAGCUGUGAAUUAUAAAAUAAUUGAAACAAUUAAAUAUUUAUUUAUAAGUACAAUAUUGAAUUCAUUUGAAUCAACUCUUGGAGCUAAUAGUCAAUAGAUUUUCACAUGCAUUCAUGGAAUAAAUAGAUAUACACAUAGUCGAUUGACAUACACCAGAGAAUGUUUUCAAUAUAAAAAAUGAUUCUCUACUACGUUAUCAAACCAUUUCUAACUCUCCCUACAGACCUUGUUUGGAAUCGAUAGCUAUUGAUUUUAGGAGGUAGUUAACCUGUAUAUAACAUUUAUUCUUCUUUAUGGUCGUAAUUUGCAUUGCUAUUCAAAGCAAUUCUAUCUUUUAUGUAUAACAGUCAUGUUAAAACAGAACAUGUGUUUAGCAGGUUCGUAUGAUAGUCAUUUUCUGUCCAUUUUACAAUUGCUCUAUUAUACACAGAGCAGGAACAACGUGAUCUUGGAUCAUUGAAUGUAUAUGUUUAGUAUUAUUAUGUGGGAAUUAUAUUAAUUAAAUCCCAGUAGGGACUCUAUGAAUAAUGAAAGAAGCUGCUUCAACACGUCGUCAAAGAUAUUUAUUGAGGUUUUGUCAGUGUUCCAUGUAGUAAAUGUCUCCAGCGUGUUGUCGUAAUUAAAAACACUGACCACUUACGACCUUACUAAAUAUUUAUGACCCUAUAUGGGCAUCAUGAAAACAACUCUGUAGGCCGUACACUGUUGUUUCUGAGUUUUAGCUUUAUUUCCAUACAAAUCUAGCAACAACCCAUUGGGAAACCAAUGGCUUAUGUGUAUUUUGUCUUAAAAAUAAACUGUCAUUGGACGGAAAAAGGUAAUUUUGGAUCAUUAGAUUAGACACCAAAUAAUUAGCAUCACAGGAAAACGUUGGUUGUAUGUAAGGAUAGCAGACAUUAAAAGCUAUCUCUGUGCUUAAGGUUCAGCUAUUUGAAGAAAAAAAAUCUUAUUGAUCUGUUUACCAAGUUAAUCAAGGGCAUAAUACUUAUGUGAUGGUUGUUGUUCGUAGGUGUCAAAAGUAGUCAUUCUUUUGAAGAAGGUUUUGAUCACCAAUACAUUUGCAUUUAUUCUGAGCUUCAAAAAUAUUAUUACUUUCAAUGACAACUGUCCUAAACAUACAGGUAUUGGUCCUGUUCCUAUUUCUCAUGAUUUCAAUAUUCAUCUUCAAUACCUCUAAGCUGGCUUCUGUACCUCAAAAUACACAUCUUGUCACAGUUUAGAAAAUACUUUUGGUUCCAGUUUAGGUCAAGGAUACUAGUUUAACUAUAGUGUAAUGGAAGUCUGUUAAUCUAUAUUAACUGUACUCAUAUUUAUAUUUAAUCAAUUUUAUCCAAAUAUUUUGUGAUCAAAAACAAAUUAUUGAUUUCCUUUAUGAUCUGUUACCCUUCACUGCUAACAUUAUUUGUAGCUUUGAAUAGCUCGUAAUUGUUAUAAAAUGGUUUACUGCAACUAAUGAGGAAUCAUAAAUAUCUCCCUUUAUGCUUUAUGCUGACGAAAAGUGGGGGAGUAUUGUAUUCUUGUGGAAGCAGAUUUAUUCAAAAUUAUCAAAACAAGCCUAAACUUAAUCAAUAUUUUAUUGCAAUUUGUCUGUUCAGUUUAAAGUCUUUUUAAAAAUCACUGUGAUUGAAAUUUUUCUCUCUGUGUCAGAACCAAAUCUCAGGUAAAUCUCACCUGCAUCAAGCUGUUUCACCUGACCAAUGUUGGCUUCGGCAAGGAAUAUUUUUUUGAAUAGCCCUUGAUUAGAAAUUUAACCAAUAAGUUGCAUGAAAUAUGGAUUUGGGCACCCACCAUUUCACAAUCACUAAUUAGAAUAUUGUUUCUUUAGAGUACGCUUUGAUUUCCUGCUUGUACAGUAAUGUGGAUUCAUUCAUUUUCUUUGGAUUUUUCAUGGAUUGAGAGAAACUGAUACUAUGUGGAUAUUUUAUUUUGUGUUAUUUCUUGGUUUUGUCAAAGUCUGCAUACACUAAUGGAAAAUGUACAAUUUGUUGAACAUUUAAAUUCGUGGUUAACCUGUACCCAUGAAAUCCAUGAAAAUUAGUACCCAACGAAUAAUAAUGAACCCACAGUGUUUUAAUUUGAAGACACAUCUUUGAAUGAUGGUUUAAACCUAUAGGGUCUGCGAAGAAUAUCUUGUUUCAACUUUAUGAUUUUUUUAUCACAAACUUUUGAAACUUGUAAGAAUGUUUGAUUUAUGUAAUGGUUUGUCAAGUCAGAUUAUUUACAUGUCUUGUAUAUUAUUCCCAAACAUAUUUUAAUGAAAUUUUGCAAAGAAAUUUUUCCCGAUAAAUCUUCUCCUCUUGUGAAGAGAAGCAAUGAUUUAGUUCCAAAUUGAAUAGAACUUUUUUCGUUGCUGAUGUUGUUUCUCUGGCAUGUUAGGUAGUUAGACAGUAGUGCAAGUCGGAUUUUCAUAAUUAAAAAAUUCUCCAGGGACUUUCUGUAAAUAGAGAAUGAGAGGGGAAAGAUUGUGUAAAAAAUCAAUAUAUAGAGAUAUAGAAGAUGGAAUAGUUUGAUUUACAAAAUCAAAAUAAUUAACCUCUAUAUUAUAUCGUUUACAACGCCCCAUAGUUUCCAAAUUAUUAAAAUAUUAAUAAGCAUCAAACUAAAAAAUUUGGAAGCUGCAAGUUGAAAGGAAAUCUCACCAUCAUACAUUUUUGCUGACUAACAUAUAUUUUAUGCAUCAAUUUCUUUAAUAUACAUACAUUUUUUGUAUUGUUAUGAGUUACAAUUUAUGACAAAAUUAGCAAAGACCCAUCGCAACAAUAUUUAAUACAAAAAUUUAACAAUAUUUUUAGAUAUUUGGAUGAUAUAUUUGCUCUCAAUAAUGAUGACUUCAGUAUGUAUACUAAAGAGAUUUAUUCUGUUGAACUUACUUUAAAUAAAGCUAAUACUAACAAUGACCACUGCCCUUUCCUUGAUCUUGAUAUCUAUAUCAAUUACAGGAAGCUUAAUACAAAAAUUUAUGAUAAAAGAGAUGAUUUUUAAUUUCCUAUUGUUAAUUAUCCAUUUUUAGAUGGUGACGUUCCCUUGUCACCAUCUUAUGGUGUUUAUAUAUCUCAACUUGUAUGAUUCGCUCGUGUAUGUAACAAAUAUUAGAUUUUAGCGAGAGAAAUUUAUGUAUUACUGAAAAAUUAUUACACCAGGGUUUUCGAUAUCACAAACUAGACAAAACAUUUACUAGAUUUUAUCAUCGGUAUAAGGAAAUAAUAAAUCGUAAAUAUAACUCAACAUGCAGACAUCUUUCAUGUUCAGGUAUUUCACAUCCAAUCUUUUAUGGUAAUAUUCUUUACAUAGCACAAAAAUGUCAGUAUUCACCUCAAAUGCUUACAGAACCUUUUAAACAGAUCUAUUAAAAAGGGAUAUAGUUUCGAUACUGUUGUCAGGUCAUUAGAAAUUACAUAUUUUGGCUUUAAUAUUGAUUCACUUAUAGGGUCUUUGUAUCGGAACUAAACACAUUUAUUUAAAAAAAAAAAAGCUGUCGUUGGCAUGAGUGACACGGGUUAUGUUCUUCUCAUAUAUUUUAUGAUAGUAUGAUACUAUACCCCUUACUGGAGGGAUUGUGCCUGAUAUUCAUAAGAUGAACCCAUAAUCUUUCAAUCAGUUUAAUUCAUUUUAUUUCUUUUCUUUUGUUACAUCUUCUGACAUUGGACUCGGACUUCUUUUGAACUGAAUUUUAAUGUACGUAUUGUUAUGCGUUUACUUUUCUACAUUGGCUAGAGGUAUAGGGGGAGGAUUGAGAUCCCAUAAACAUGUUUAACCCCGCCGCAAUUUUGCGCCUGUCCCAAGUCAGGAGCAUCUGGCCUUUGUUAGUCUUGUAUGAUUUUUAAUUUUAGUUACUUGUGUAUAAUUCGGAGUUUAGUAUGAUGUCCAUUAUCACUGUACUAGUAUACAUAUUUUUUAAGGGGCCAGCUGAAGGACGCUUAUGGGUUCGGGAGUUUCUUGCUACAUUGAAGACCCAUUGGUGGCCUUUGGCUGUCUCUAUGGUCAGGUAGUUGUCGCUUUGACACAUUCCCCAUUUCCUUUCUCAAUUUUAUACAUGUAUACUAAUGCCCACCUCUGGGUGUGGGAUUUUCAAGCUGCAUUGAAGAACCAUUGGUGGCCUUCGGCCGUUAUUUUCUCUUUGGUCGGGUUCAGCUUGGUUGUCUCUUUCACAUAUUCUCCAUUUCCAUUCCCAUUUUUAUUAAUUUUUAAUAAUAAAAUGCAGAUCGACUUCAAAAAAGGAUUUAAAUCAAAUUGAUUUUUUGCUAACCCUUAAACUGUCCAUUCUUUGGUACAUUCUCAUCUCAGCUAUGCACAUACAAUUCAUACAUUCAUACAAGUGACUGGUAUUUAAUGGCACGGAACAAAAAAAAAAUCUUUUUUAAGCAAAGGUGUAAAUGACCAGUAAAAAUCAGUUUAAACAAAUACAAAGCGGUGACUGUGUGAUAUUUGUGAAGUGAUAUUUUUAUAGUUGUGGAUAGAGUACAUGUAUUGUUUGCUCUGGUUUAGAAUUUGGUCAUUGCCCUAAAGAAAGUCGAGGCCAUCAGCUUUUGUACGUUUGACAUUUAUCGUAUCGAGAGCAAAGUGGGAAGGGUUACGAGUUAAAUUACGCUUCUUUCAUGUAGGUAAAGUGACUGUCAUUUAGGCUCGCUGUGGUGACCCUUAUAUUAUUUGUUAUGAAAGGGAGAGAAUUUAAAGUUUGUAAACGAGAUAACAUUAAGGUAUAAGGUAUAAUUAUGAAUGAAUGAAAUUUGCUUAUUCAAUGAAUAUGUAAGGAAAACAUUAAUUGGACGUUGUUAUUAGCUGAGUGAAUUUUAAAUGGAAACUGUGAUCAGUGAUGUACUUAUUAUACAGAAAAUAUAUACCUUGUAACAUUAUCAAAUGAAGGGGUUGGAAUAGCAAAUGGACAUUUUAUAUUGAAUUAAAAUGAGGGUAUCACUUGAAUAGUAUUACUGAAAAAUAACCACCACUUAAGUCUUUGCUUGGACUCCUUAAUGAAAUUCUAGUUGGACUUGAUUAUUAUUUUUUUUAUGAAGAUUUCUUGAAGCAUUAAUGGAAUUAUCAUUUUGAUUCAAAAAUUGGAAGGUAGAAAGAUUUUUUUUUCUCUCCCUGCAUAUGACUGAAAUAGUUACUACCAGAUUUUAAACAACUGACUAUACAUUUUUCAUACAUUUAAGAUGCUUAAUAAUUUCGAUGUGCAGCAUAUUCUUCCAUACUUUUGACCUACACAACAGAGGUUCAGAAAUCAAAUGCUAAAAUUGGCUCUUUUGGAAAAUAAAAAUUUAAACAUAAAAUGGCUCAUCAUAGAAUGAAUGAUAUUGACUAUAACAGGCACUGAUUUGAAUGAUAAUAUGAAGGUUUUUAUGAAUUAACCUUCUAAGGUAUUCUAAACAAGAAGGAUGUAGAAAAUAAAUUUUCCCAGGAAAUGACAUUUCUGUAUGACAGGUUACAAAACAACAGAAUCAACAUAAAGAAUAACAAACGAUUAAAAAUAUUUUAUGAUUCAGAAUUUUUUUCACAAUAAAUUGUAUUGUUAUGUUCAUUAACAUUUGAAAUUGAAACUUUUGUUUGAGUUGAAAUAAUAUGUGAAAUAUUACCUCCAAAAAUGUCUGACAAAGAAGUGAAAGAUUUGUGAUAAGUAUUAAUUAGAUGAAUUUGUCAUGUGUAUCAGCACUAAGGGUGGCCAUGUUCUGUGGAUCCUGAGAUAGCAUAUCUCCGAUUUCUUUUAAAUCACUCGGUCCAUAUCUGGUAAAUAAGUAGUACCAUUGUUUGGGGUAUAUAUCUAGUAGGUAAAAACAUUAGAUGAUGAAAUUUGAACAGCUUUGUGUUUUAAGUGAUGUGCGUGCAUCAAUUGAGGUUUAAAUGAGUUUUUUUCGAAAGGUGUUUAAAUUCUUUUGCCAGGAUCAGCAGUUUUGAAUGUACCCAUGUUCUAGUCGAAUAGAUCAAAAACAAACUAAAGAUGACAUCUCGAUUAAGAAAAUUGUCCUAACAAAUAAGAAAUGACUGGAUGUUAAAUAGUAUGUAACCCAAUCAUGUUAACGGUUAAUUUUUUAACCCUGGCAGGUGAGGUUUAAAGGUAUAUUAUAGAAGGAGAUAAAUGAAACACUUCAUGUUUUUUUGUAUAACUGAACAGUUCAUAAGUCAAUGUUAUUCACAUGGUAUCAAUAUCGCAGUCAUUUUUUCUUUAAAUCUUGCAAAUACUUGAAUGAGAUUGGUGACAUUUGGGGGUUGGAAGAUUUUCAACUGAUUCAUCACAACUUUUGUGAAAGGAGGAAAAAAAUGUGUAUAAAGUAUAUUGAGUUUCAAUUAUCUUAGUAUUAUCUGUAGAGAUUUAGAUAAAUAUGUAUGAUUAAUGAAAUGGUAUUGAAAUUCUCAUGAGAAAAAAUAUAAUUACAAAAAUGAUGGUUUCAGUAUUUGUCAUACAUCACAGGAGCUAUGCAUCAUAAAACAUCUAUUUACCAAUUAUUUUAUUGCAUCUCUGAGCUGCAAUAUCUUGCUGAGGGUUGUUUGUUUUCACUUUUGUGCUUUCUAUAUCUGCAUUAUCUUGCUGUUUCCUGUAAUUGCAAUUUUUACUCCAUUUAAUUGAAGUGCUGGUAACUCGGGUGUAUGGCUGAUGCAAGUUUUUGUUCACAUUUUUAUGUCAUCUGUAUGACGCAGUGUCUUGUUUUGUUCACAUUUAGUUGUUUCUUGUAUCCUGCAAUGUCUAAGUGAUGAUGUUCACAUAUUGAUAAUUUCUGUAUGCUACAUUGUCUUGUUUUGUUCCAUUUUAAUGUCUCCUGUGUGUUUCAGUGGCAUUCACAUUUUAUGUAUACAUAUUGUUUGGCAUUUUCUGUAUGCUGUAGCUGCUGUGUGGUUUUAGGUUUUGUUUUUUUAUGUUACUUGUAUACUGCAUUGUGUUAGUGGAGACACAUGAUACUAACUUCUGUAUUCUACAGCGUCUUUUAUUCAAUUUAUUGUCUGUGCAGCAGUUUCCUUUUUUGAUCAUUUUCGAUGGCUUCUGUAUGUUACAGUGUCUUGUAUUGUUCUCAUUUGGUGUUUUUUAGUGUCUUGUUUUGUGUUACAUUUGGUGUUUUGCAGUGUCUUUUGUUCUCAUUUUGUGUUUUGUUGUGUCUUGUUUUGUUCUCAUUUUGUGUUUUGCAGUGUCUUGUUUUGUUCACUUUUGUUGUCUUCUAUAUGGUACACUGUUUUGUUUUGUUCACUUUUGAUGUCUUCUAUAUGCUGCAGUUUCUUGUUUUAUUCACUUUUGUUGUCUGUUAUUUGGUACACUGUUUUGUUUUGUUCACUUUUGAUGUCUUUUAUAUUCUGCAGUUUCUUGUUUUGUUUAAACUUUGAGUAUUUUGCAUAAUUCAGUGUGUUGUUUUGUUCACUGAUGAUGGCGGUCAUAGAAUUAUAGAAGAGAUGAUUAUAACUUCAUCACUUGUAGCUGCACAAUUACAUGUAUUCUAAAUACAACUACAGCUCAAGUAUCCCAAUUUAAUAAAUAACUUUUCUUUUGCAAAUAUCUUUUUCCUCAAUACAUAUGCUGAAUGUUUUCCAAAUUUUAGACAAAGAUUUUCAAAUAUAAAGACAUAUCUAAUUAAGUUCCUGACUAUUAUGUCAUUGCGACACAUUGGCCCAUAACUUUCAUUCAUCAAAAUUGGAUAUAGUUGGAGAAUAUCAACUUGUGACUGGUUUGAUUAAUGUUUAAUUGUUAGUCCGGAAAUAGCUGUUAUUGUGAUUGUACUUUGAUUUUAAAACUCUGUAUCUAUGACGUCAAAUAAUUCCCAAGAAAACCAUGCUCCCAGUUUUAAUAUUAAAACAAAUAGGAUGAUUUGAUAUGAUAAUUGCUUCAUGUGAGUUAUCUCUGAUGAAAUUUCUCUUCAGGAAUAGAGUCAUUUAUAGAAAAAAAAGGGAAAAUAGAGAAAAUUUAUAAGCUAGAACUAAUAUGCAUAUUAAAUUAGUAAGACAAAGCAAAGUGUAGUAUUGGGCCGGUUAAAACUAAACUUACCUCUUUUAUUGAGUUUUCUCAAUCAGCACUAGUUAAGUUGAAUGAAGUAAAGGUUGGCAAUCUUCUAAUAAAGUAAUCAAAAUACCCAUUUGUGUUAGUUUCAGAAUUUUACUCAUUUCAUAGUCAGUCCCAGAAGAAUUUAUAUGACAGUUGAUGUUCCCUUGUCAUCCCCUUUUGUUUGUGGGAUUACAACUUUUCGUGAAUGUCAAGGGUAUACUCCCGGUAUAGGUAAGCCACAUAUUUAACAGUAUAACAAAGUAAGAAAUUUCUAAAGACUUUAGCAAAACCACCAAAUCAAGUAUUUUUGAAAAUACUUAUAAUUUUAGUCAGUCCACAAUAUUUGGUAUCCACAAAAAUAAAUGAAUCCACAGUGAGUUAAGUACUGUACUCUCAGAAUCUAUCUACCUUAAACGAUAUAGAUUCACACAGAUGUGCAGAUAUGUCUUUGGGUGUCUCAUCCAUAUAACAUUAAGAUGAAGGUUGCAUAACUCAUUUUUUAAGGCUCUUGUGAAGUAAAUUUAUCAGUUGAUUUACAACAGUAUUAUCUCAUCAUAGAAUGAGAUUAAAACUUUUACUGAAUUAAAAAAAAAAAAACACUUUGAUACCAAAAUGUAUAUUAUUUGUUGGACUUGUCAUUUAAAUGAAGACAUUUUACAUUACCAUAUUUCAUUUUAUGUAUUAAUUUGAUCUUUAUAAAUACUGAACAGUUUAUGAUGGAUAUGAAAACUGUUAUCUACAAAUGUAUAAUUUGUUUUUGAUGCUUUUAGUAAAGUAUAAAAGUAUUGUUUGGACUCCCAUACUGCAAAUAGUAGAUACUGGUCAAAUGUCAACUUCGAAAACAGUUGAAUAUAUAGAUGACCAUGAGUAACGAUAGUUGCUGAAUCACUAAAUAAGUGUUGUUUUGAAGCAUUCAGGAAGCCAUAAAAUACUAACUGUCCAUAUACUAAGUUAUAGUACAUGUAAGAUGUCAGGAAAGGUUAACCCACAAUUCAUGAUCUUACAUGUAUACACGGAAACUAAUAAAACAUUGUGGUUAAUCUCAUUAUAUUUGAGGAGGAAAAAAAUAAUAAAUAUGAGUGAAAUUUGGGAGGAUUAUUGUCGCCUUGUCGUUUGUUCCUUGUUGAUGUAGGUGGAUGGAUCAGUCAGAAAUUAUAGAUAUGAUUCCAAUUAAUUAAUAUAUAUGUCAACAGUACCAGAAAACACAUUGCUUCAUCUCUAUAUAUAAAGUGACAACAUGUGAUAAAUAGACAUGUUUUUGUUGACAGUUUGGAUACCAUUGUUAAUUAGGAACAAUAUUUUGAUGACAUUUAAUAAGUAAAUUACAUGAUAUAGACAAGGUUAUUUGAAUCCCAUAUAAAUUCUUACAUAUCAACCAGGAAGAGUUCAGACAAGAUGGACAACAGGUCCAGAAUUAAGUCACAAUUUUACAACACUUUUUUCUAACCAAUUGUUUGUAUUUAGUGAGAUUGCUAACAUAUCAAUUUUUUCAAUGAAUGUAGCAGUUUCUAUAAUUGAAUGGAAGUACAAAAAAUAUCGAGAAAUAUGAUUAAUGAAAAAUCCUUUACUGGAACAAAUAAGAGAUCCAUAAAUUUGCAGUUGGAAUCUCACCUAUGGCAUCUACAUAUUAGUACUAAUUAUUUGGUGGUUGGUUUUGUCUAAAUAACAAAAAAAUUAACAACUAUAGGUCAUCUUAUGGCCUUCAACAAUGAGUAAAGCCCAUAUACCGCAUAGUCAGUUAUAAAAGGCCCUGAGAAAUGACAAAUGUAAAACAAGUCAAACAAGAAAACCUAAGGCCUAAUUCAUGUACAAAAUAAUGAAUGAAAAACAAAUAUGUUGCACAGAAACAAUCAACAACCACUGCAUUAUAGGUGCCUGGCUAAGUAUUUUCACUAUUAUAGGCAAGCUUGAGCGAUCAUUCAUGUCCUCUGUGAGACACAUUCUUCUAGUAUUUCUAAAUAGACUGGUAGAUUUAUUUAUUGUUGGUAUUAACAGCACUUUAUGCACACUUGUUUAUACCAUGGCAGCCAGUUUCUAUUGCAAGUGGAAGCUGCAAUUCCUGUAGAGAGCUAGACUGACCUUUGCCAGGAAAACUGGUCUUAAUGUGACUGGGUUAUGCUACUUAAAUGCCAUCUAGAUUGUUCUAUUCAAUCCAGAUAGACAUCUCAUUUUAGAAAUAACCAGACAUUUAUGUAACAGUCUUUAUUGCUUUGGUAAAAAUAUUUAUAGUUUUGCACAUUAUCUGAAAACUAUGGAAUCUCAAUUUGAUUUAUAAAUUCAAUAAAAUUAUGAUAUCCGCAUGAUUUUGAAGUAAAUCUGUUGGGAAUUAACUGUUGAUUCAUUUGAUAAUUACUGAUAUUCGUGGGUGCAAAUAAACUAAUCAGAGAUACCAGGAUUGGAAUUUCAUAUUUGCGCCAGACACACGUUUCAACUACAAAAGACUCAUCAGUGACACGUACUUGUAUCAAAAAAUGUUCAAAAGGCCAAAUAAAGUACGAAGUUGAAAAGCAUUGAGGACCAAAAAUUCCUAAAAGUUUUGCCAAAUACAGCUAAGGUAAUCUAUUCCUGAGGUAUAAAAGCAUCAGUAUUUCAAAAAUUCAAAGUUUUCUAAACCGUUAAUUUAUAUAAAUUAUGAAAUUCUAAACAGAAAUGCUGACUCACUGGGCUGGUGAUACCCUCAGGGAAUUAAAACUCCACCAUCGGAGUGGCAUCGACCUAGUGGUUGUGAAUAAACUCAUCAAAGAUACCAGGUUUGAAAUUUCAUAUUUUCGCCAGACAUGCGUUAUGCCUGCAAAUUUUAGUUGAUACUAAAUCUCAUGGUUGUGACAAAUUUUGCAUACAAAAUGUAAGAUGUAGAAUUUGUUGAACAUUUAGAUUCAUGGUUCAUAAGCAGAAAACCACAAAAGUGCAUCAUGAAUUAUAACUUAUCCACAGUAGAUAGUACCUAUUAAGGAAUUUUUAAAAAGUCUAUGUCUUGUCAAAACUAGCAAUGAUCAUAUGACAUUUCUUAAUCUGAUGUGCCUUUAAAAUGUGACUUGCCCAAACUUUAUGUCAUCAGAAAUUUGAUAACAUUCCAUUUUACACAGGAGAUGUAACAUUUCAAACUUAGCUCCAUAAACACAGAGUAAUCACAAAUCAAUUUAUUUUUUAGAAAGCUUGGUGGAUUUAGAUCGCAUGUGUAACUGAUGUUGCCAAUAUUAUUUAUUUGUUUUUCGUGAAGAAUGGUUAACUUGAUUAUGCAGAACACAUUACAACAAGUCUGUAGUACAUUUAUCAAUUCUAUAUCUAAAAGCGAAAUCUUUCUUGGAAAAUAUAUUUUUGGAUUUAAAUGCAUUUAGUCCUUGUUAAAGAUCAUGUUUUAAGUUGAAGACAUGUUAUGUUUUGUUAUUCAAAUGCUUCUUCACACGUGGAUACAUCAAUUCAUUACUUUAUGGCAUGUAAGGAAAUGAUAGAGUCCCAUGUUUGUGGCCUAUAUAUUUGAUUUUACGUAUUUCCUAUUAGAUGUUAAAAUCUCAGACAGUGGUUUUAUCAAAUGCCACAUAGUCAAAAAUAUACUUAUAUUUGAAUAUCUUUAACAUGAUGUUUGUUGACUAUAUUGCAUUAAUUAAAGUUAGUAAUCCAAAUAUGUGUAUCAAAUGUUUUGAUAAGCAAAUGUUAUGCAUGUCAUGAAGUCACACUAAAAUGUGUAAUGUGAUUUGAUCACUUAUAUAAUGACUAUGUUCAAUACAUCGUAGUACAUUUUUGUGGUGAAAGGACACUCGCACUUUGGCUUUGACAACUGCUUUUCUAAGGCAAGCUGUUAUAUACAUGUCCAUUUGUACUUAUUUUCAACAAAUAAAUCGUCCUGAAUAUGCAUGAAAUAUUUGCCACUGGACGUUAAGCAACCAACAAUCAAUCAAUCAACAAAUAAAAAAGUACCAAUAAAUGGCAAAAUCAAAUCAUGAGGAAUAUUAUCUAAGGUAAAAAAAGUUGGAUCUUGGGGAAAGAAGAAAAGAAGAAGUGGAAAUGUACUAAGUCAGGAAUCUGAUGUUCAGUGUUUGUCGUUUGACUUUAUGUGGUUCAUAAGUGUUUUCUGUUUUUCGUUUUUAUAUAGAUUAGACCGUUGUUUUUCCCGUUUGAAUGGUUUUACACUUGUAAUUUUUUGGGCCCUUUUAAGCUUGCUGAUUGGUGUAAGCAAAAGCUCUGUGUUGAAGACCGUACUUUGACCUAUAAUGGUUUACUUUUAUAAAUUGUUACUUGGAUGGAGAGUUGUCUCAUUGGCACUCAUACCCCAUCUUCCUAUAUCUAUAUUUAAAUGUGAAUAUAUAUAGGAAGAUGAGGUAUGAGUGUCAAUGAGACAACUCUCCAUCCAAGUCAUAAUUUGUAAAAGUAAACCCUUAUAGGUCAAAGUACGGUCUUCAACAUAGAGCCUUGUAUUUUUAGUUUGCUAUAAUUGUUACAUCUGCUUUUCUAUGAAUAGUAAUGAAUCUUUAGAAAAUAUUCCAACAAUAACAUGACUGUGGUUGUCAUUCAAGAAAAAAGAAAAGAAAAUUGAUUAUGUGACUGGGAAAGACCUUUGAUUAUGGGCUCUUAUGAAAGUUAAUCCACCAUAACAGUCCGUCAGUGGUAAUCUUUUGUUAUCUUUCUUCAUUUGUAUUGUUAUUUAACCUGGCCCUCAAAGGCCACAUUAACUAAUGUACUAUUUUUUUGGCAUAUGUAACAAAUGAGCUUUAUUAAAUUAAUCCUUUAGUUUUUUUUUUUACUGAAAUGCCAUUUGCAAAUUAAAGAUAUUCCAUUUAUGUAUGGACAAUUGUGUCAAAAACAGUAACCAUAUUUUCUUGUUUUUUUUGUGUUCUGAUGUUGACUGUCGAUAAUGGCUGUCUUCUUCAUGCUCUUCUCAAAAUCUCAUUUUCAUUCAUAAAAAAAAAAAUACAACUUUGAAAGUUAUAUGAUUUGUGUGUCCCAGUAGUUCAUAAAUUAUAUAACUAGCUAUUUAUGUGUUUUACAUAAUGUAUUUUAUCCAAAAUCUAUGUUUAUGUAUUUUGAGAAGAUCUGCAUCAGCAAAACGGAGAUCAGGUUCAAAGUGAACCAGGAAAAUGUUUGAGUGACAGGUUUAUUUGCUUACAAAACAAAAAACAAGAAAUGUUUUGAGGUCAUAUUUAGUUUAUGUAUUUCCUGUACUUAUACUUGUAGAUCAUUCAUAAUUUUCUUCUUUUUUAAUUCCCAAGUGACAAGAUAAGAAUUAUUUGUGAUGUAAUUGAUUUAUAAAUAUUCUUUUUAUUGGUAUGUUAUCAGGAAAAAACAAGCCACAUAACAUGAAAGUCUUGUCAAUUUUUGAUACAUUUUGGAGACAGUAUAUAAUUUAAAAAGACUUUAAUUUAUUAAUAAUUUUGGCUAUAAGGCUUGUGAUACUAUAUUCCAGCCACUUUUAUUUCAGCUUUUAUUACAACCUAGAUGUUCUAAUGACCUAUUUUCAGAUAUGCUAAAAUUGUUUCUAGAAAAACAAACAAAACAAAAAAUAAUAUACAUCAGUAAUUGAUGGUUUGUAUAGAUAAGUAAUAUUACUAAAUCUGUUCAACUUAUACAAUAAAGAGAACAAUUGAAGUUUAUGCAUAUAUAAAUAAGAAAUUGUGGUAUGGUUGCCAAUGAGAACACCAGAGUUCAAAUGAAGAAAAAGCUAGCAUUAUAGGCAACGGUAUGGCCUUCAACAAUGAGAAAAAAAAAACCAUACCUAAUAAUAGAAUACAGUGAUAAAAGGCCUGACAUGAAUAAUGUUUAACAGCAUGCUUGAUGUAAAGAUGUGCAAAAUAUAUUGCAAAAAUCCAGUUUGGUUUGUGCACUGUACAACUUCAAGCUGAACAAUCAGAUGGACUGUUAUAAGGCUAAAGUGGAUCAGCCUCAAAGAUUUAAAAAGUCAAAUGAAUGUUAAACUUAAAAGAAAUUUGAUACAAUUGUUUAGGGUUAUAGCUUGCAUGCUUAAUUCCAUCAGACUAUUGCUAAAAAAGUAAAUUGAAACUCAGAUCUUUCUUCAAAGGCUCAAAGAAAAAGUGACCUUUAUGAGGACCAAUCAGAGACAAACAGAGUGUUCUGGUUUCAAUCCAGUCUGUGUUUUUUUUAGUAAGAGUGUAAAUGUAUAUAAUAAUAUAUGUAUAUUUAACAUGACAAAGGUAUAUUUGACAGACUGAUAAUUUUUUACAUGACAAAAUAUAAGUAAAUUUGACAAUAAAAUCAUGAUGUCUAAAUGGUUGAGGUAGUUGUGAGAUAAUUUAUGACAUAUCAAAGACUUGAGCAUGUUUUUAUAAGGUAGUUACUGCAUGUAUUUGUAUUAUAAAUGGAUGUCUUCUAUUUGUUUGAUCUUCCCUUGGAAACUAGUCCAAAUUAAACAUAAUAUCUGAUGCUGUUUGAUUCCAGACAUAAUUUUUUUAUCAAUUUACCGAUGCUGAGUUUGAUGUAGUUUAUUUUUGUGCAGAUCAGUUACGUUUAAUUGUUGCUAGGACAUUACGCAAUGUCAACACUCAAUAUUAAAAAUGAUAUUUGUCUGGUAUUGGAUUAGAUAUUAAUUGCAAUAUCUAUUUCCAUAAAAAUCAGUUUUACCUACUUUUCUCCACCAGGUUAUUAGAAAAGAUUUGCUUUUUUGGGUGAAUCGUUUAUUAGAAUUUUACGUAAAGAGUCUGAUGUCGUCUGUACUCUUUGCUUUAAAUGAAAAAUCGUGUUCCUAGAUUCCAAUUGAUUUAGACAUGUUAUCUUAGUUUGUUCAAAUAUAUACAGGAUUGUGAGAUUGUUUAUUAAAAGUGCAAGACUAUCUAUUGUACCACAAAGGUGCAGUCACCAUAUUGACCUAGGAAUGAAGAAUAUGACAUUUAGUAUUGAAAGACUAUUACGUAGUAACCUUAUUCCAUAUAAAGACAAGAUACUGGUUUGUAGAAGUAACAAAACUCCUUUGAUAUACUUUGAGCUUUAAUGUGCUAAAAAAACAUAAACAGCCAAAAAAUAAAAAAGUAUCUAUAUUGAUAUAUGAUAUCAUUCUGAGGACUUCUUUAGUGAUAUUAACCUUAGAUUUAAAACAGAUUUAUUUUGUAAAUAAUGCUUAUAUAGAACUAUUUAGGUUUGUUGGUAGAUGAUACCUAUGUAAAACAUUCAAUAGCACUAGUAUUUACUUAGUCCUUUGUAAUACAUAUUUUAUUUACAAUGAGGACGCAUAUCUCUGUAUUAAUCACACAUUUUCUAACAGUUAAAAGAUGAAGAAAAUUAUCAUUUCUUGCACUGAAAGUCUUAUAUUUUCAGUACAUAAAAGAAUUGUGUGUGUAAACUUCCAGUAUGUGUAAAAGUAUUGGUCUUUAUUGUAUUCCUGGGGUUUUACUUGUGAAAAAUCUAUCAAGUGUUAUCGAUCAGAUCAAAAUAAAUGGAUCGUGUUUGGUAUCAUUUUUCUUUCAAAUAUUAGUAAUGAUUUUUGUUGUAUCAGUUUUGUCAUUCUUUCCACCAUUCGAUUUAUCCAAAGGCCCAGUUCACAAUCAUUACAAUUAUUCUAUUGUUUGUUUAAUUUAUUGUUUACACAAACACAAUGAUUUUUAAUGAUUAAUUUUUCCUGAUUUGUAAAUAUUAGCGGAAAAAAUGUCAUUAAAUGGCAUUUGUAUCACAUUUCUUCAGAGUAAAGAUCCUGUAAUGUAACCUUUUAACCCAACAAAGAAGAAUAGGAAAAUAGUCGUGAUUUCUUCUUUUUCAUAUAACAAUGUGUUUUGUUGGAUAAUGUCAAUUGAGCUGGUGGUAGAUUAUUAUCGGGAGUCAAAUGGUUUGCCCAUAAUAUCUAACCAGGAUUCAAAACAAUUCUGCUUCUGUUGCUGGUAUGGGAUGAGAGGAUAAUUUAUGAAUUGUGUAUUGAGAUUUAAAACAGAUAAUAAUCAAGGUUAAAAGUUGAAAGCUUUUAAAAUAUUGAAUAAAUAUGUAAAAAAAUAUUUAUAUGAAAUAGUAUAAAUAAUAGAUUUUAUAUUUGAAUACAUGUUUGUACAGCGCUGAAAAAGCCAUAACAAAUGACUUCUUAAGCAAUACAUUACAAAAAUAAUCCUUCUAGACUUUGUUUUUUCUUCAGUUUUCCAAUGUGUAUUCCACUGAAAAUCAUAUAAUUGCAUGCCUAGCCAUAAUUAUUCUACUAGUCAUAUUAUAUAUAAGAAUCAGGAAUUUUAAAAAAAUCAAUACCUCAGUACAUCUAUACUUGGUGAAUGGAACAACAACACCUGGCAGAGCAUCUAGCCAUAAUGUUACAUUGUUACAUCUAUUAGUGAAGAUGAGAAUGCAAAUUCUAUUAAAAUAAUCAAGGUUGAAAAAUCAAGGUCACUGUGACUUAUUUAUUAAUUUUCAGUAGAUAUUUUUUAUAUAUGGAUAACUUAUCUGUUUUGUGAUCUUGUUUUUUUUUCUGGAAUCAUUAUCCUACUUUUUCUGCAGUCCUUUGAUAUGCUAAGCAGCUGGAUUGUAAAUUUUGGGUUUUUGGGUCCUGGUAUUGAAUUGGUCCACAUUUACGUCCAAAAGGUCCAAAAGUAAACUUAGUUUGAUUUCAUCAGAAUAAUCUCUAUAAAUGAUUUAUUAGGGUUCAUUUGAUAUACGAAAACUGUGUAAAUCUGACCGUCGUUUUAUACGGAUGAAAAUCAUCUAUUUUGGGACCAUGUUUUUAAAUUGGUCCGAAUUAAAUUCCAAAGGGUCCAAUAUAAAUCUAAGUUUAAUUUCAUCUAAAAUUGAAUUUUUCAGGUUCUUUGAUAUGCUGAAUCUAACUGUGUACUUAGAUUUUUUAUUUCCAAUGGGACCAAAAAUUUCUGACUCUUGCCAUGUAUUUUGAAUAAGGAUAUUGGACCAUAAAAAGGUCCAAAUUCUGAUCUGUAUCAAGCUUGAAUGUUGUGUCCAUACUUGCCCCAACUGUUCAGUUUUCAACCUCUGAGGUUAUAUCAUGCUGCAGUGUGGGUAGCAUUUUAUUUUAUUAGGUAUUCUGAUUGAUUGAUGCUGGCUAAAUGCCUUGUGGCAAGUUAGUAUUUCAUGUAUAUUCAGAUUUUUUCCAGAAGAGGGACAUUAUCUCUUAGUAUACUCUUUCAUGACUCUUGAUAUCAUGGUUUUGUGAUCUAGUCAUCAAUUCAUGGUAUUGUGUUCUCCUCUUCAGUAAAUGUUUUGUAUUUUUUAUCUUGUCAGUCAAUGAAUAAGAUUCUUGUCAGUCUGUUUCUCAUGAUAUUAUAUUUGUAUUUUUAUCUUGUCAUUUCGGUACAGCAUUGCUAUGUUUUGUUGUCAGUUAUCUUCUAUAUAUUGUAUCUUGUCAGAUCAGAAAUGAAGUUGUUAACAUUUGUAUUUCAUGAUACCCUCUGUAUCUUUUUAUUUAGAGCAUAAUUGCAAUCUUAUCUUUCCAGUUUGUUAUCUUUGUCAGUUCCCUUGGCUUAUGGUAUCUCUUACUGCGGUUCCUAUAUUUUAUUGAUAGAUUUCCUGCUGAAGGUUGGUUGUUCUUUCAGGGCACUCUGUCUCCUAAUCCACCAAUAAAAACUGGCGGCCUCAAUAUAGCCAAUAGCGUUGAAAGUGACAUUGAACAUGAACCAAUCAAUCAAUGUAUUUAUUCGUUAUAUUCUACCAAGUUAUUUUAGAUAUUGAAAAAAUGUGCUGAUAUGAUCUAGGGGGUUAAACCUCAAUUUUUUUUCUAAAUUGAAUGUACACAUUACUAUUGCAUCAUAUGUAUAUGUUGAUUGCAUUUAAAAAACAGUAUGACUUAUUCAAUUUUUAUGCAAAUUUAAAAACAAUAAUUAUUAUAAUUACUUUUAAUAUCCCUCUUGUUAUAUAACUGACAAUUGAUAUACAUAUCCUCUCUCAAACACAAGGUAACAGAUCUAAAAUAUUAUAGGCUGACUGAGCAGAAAUCCGGAAUUUGUUGUUCAAUAGACUAUAAGUUAUGUCUAUAUGAAUUUGAUCAAGAGCUUUACAAGCAUUUAAAGCUUUGAAAUCAAAGUUGUUCCUGCAAUAGAAUUAGCAUGAGUGUGACAGUAGCUCAACAGAGGCAGAUUUUAGGGGGCCUUAAGCUCCCCCCCUCCCUCUUUUCUGGGAAAGAUUUGGUUGUUUAUAUAGGGAAUCCAUGAAGGAUGACCGGAGUGACCUCUCUCAUAGGCAGUCAGUGGGCCCCACUUAUGAACAUUUCUGGAUCCACCAGUGCUCACUCAAACUAAAUUCUAGUAUAUUUAGCACCUUAACAAAUUUGAACAGCUACUGUUGAUUGUUGAUCGUUAAUCUUUUUUAAACUCAUUUGUAUGUCACUGGCGGAUCUAGAAAUUUUCAUAAGUGGGGGCCUACUGGCUGCCUAAGAUUCAGUGAUUCCCUAUAUAAUCAACCAAAUUCUUUUCUCAAAAGGGGGGGCCCCCGCCCUAAUUCUGCCUCUGUAUGUAUGAAAAAUUAAUAAUUUGUGUAUAUAUUUAUUUUCCUAGGAAAUGACUUUUACACAAUAUACAAUGCCCUUCUGACCUUUUUCUAUUGAGUUCUAAGGUCUUCUACCUAUUAGUUCUGUAAACUACCAUAAAACUUCACUUAAUUGUAGUGUAUUGUUGUAUAUGUCAGUUGUUUUGUAAUUCAUUAAUAUAAUUGUUGAAUAAUUGAUUGUUUUUUUUGGUCACAAAGUCCUUGGAGAAAUUUUGUAAGUGAAAUGUCACCUUUGGCAAAUAUUUGGCUUUAAUUACCUUUAAUUUAUAUUUAAAUGUUAUAAUCAUUUAAAGUGUGGUUGAUUAACUCUGAAAUAAUGUUUUUCUUUUUGAUGAAAAUAUUUUUGAAACUUGUUUGAUGAAACCUAAAACUGAUAUAUUGUACGAUUCAUGGUUAAAAGUGAAGUCUGUCAGAGGUCUUUGUUGUAUUGUAUGCAAUGGAUUAUUAUCUAUAGAGUUAAUGAGACAGGUAUCUGACCAAAAUAUGACGAAUAUGAAAUGACUGGUUAUUUUUUAAAUUAAUUAACUGCUUUGUUAUGUCUAGGGACAAAUAUUACAUACAUAUUCAGAAUUAUAUCAUACUUAAGUCAUUCAAAUACUGUACAUUUAGAAAUUUUUGUGUGUAUUUAUUAUUGCAUUUUUUGUCUUGCCUAGGUAUUACUAUGAGUUGGCGGCAACAUUAGCUAAUUUGUGUAAAGAUUUAUAUUUCAGAAGGACAAGGUAGAAGGCCUGGAUGCUUUAUACCUUGUAUGCAGAUUAUAUUACAAUGUUUCUGUCUGUCAUAUGUCCAUUGUCCUUGAACCCAUUUUCAUUUUGCAGCCAUUGCUUGAAAAAAAACCCAGUUUUUUGGUCAUGUGAAUUUUCUCACUAAUUAUGAGUAGAAGGAUCAUAACUAUAUUUGGUAUAUGGGUUCCUUACAUCUACAUGUCAGUCAGACAUGAUUUAUGUGACCUCAACGGUCAACCUCAUUUCAUGAAUCAGGGAUCAAGGUUAAAAUUUCAUGGUGAGGUCAGUUUCUUACAUACUAUAAGCAGUAGGUCAACUAUAUGUGGUGUAUUGAAUGAUUGUAAGGGGUUCAUAUCAGUCUGGCAGAUUUUAAUUGACCUUGACAUCAUUUUCAUGGUUCAUUGGUCAAUAUUCAAUUUUUUAUGUUUUUGUCUGUUUUUCAAGUACUCAUCAAUAGAUCGACUAUAUUUAGUGUGGUAUGAAUGCAAGGUGUAAAUUUUGGUUUAGCCAGUAUCAUAUGACUGUGACCUCAUUUUCAUGGUUCAUUGGUCAAUGUUAGGUUUUUGUUUUGGUUUUCCUCCUAGCAGGGAUUAAUUAGUAGACCCACUACUUUAGCACUUAAAGAAUGGUAGGGAUAGAAAAAUGAGAUAACUCAACAUGAGAUGAAAUCAUUACCCUCCUGUGACCUUUUGUGGGAAAAUUUGGUUGAUUAUUUUGGUGAAUCAUUGAAGUAUGACAGGAUGGUACCCUUACGAAAAUUUUUGGUUCUCCCACUGCCAUGACUACUUGGAGCCCAUCACAAUUAUAAAGUGUUAUUUUCAUUUGAACCCUGAAGUUUUUAAGAAUAAAAAAUAUAUAUAGCUAUUACAGUUAUAACAGACCCUAGCUAGCAUAGGAAAAACAUAUUGUUAGAGCAUCUAGUAAAAUGAGGAUGUUCACCAAGUUUGUCAUCUGUAAUGUCAUUGGUAUAUACAGUUAAGCCUCAAGUUUUGAAAAUGUGUUGAAAGUUUAUAAUAAUUAGAUAAAAAGAUUUGUAAUAUAUAGAGUUUUCCAUAUAGUUAAAUUAAGAUUAUCAUUUUUAUGAAGGUUAUUAUUUAGCUGUUUUGAACCUUUCUCGACUAAGUCAUAAAUUUUGUAAAUAGAUUAUAAAAAGUUAUUACUUAUUUUAUCAACUUCAAAGCUCUUGAAUAAAUUUGUAAUCACUUAUUGAAUUAUAAAUAUAUAUAUAGUAGCAUAAAGCUGAUUAAAACAUUGAGGAUUUUUAAAUCAAUUAAAAAGUUUCAAAACCUUUUUUUAUCACACUUAAAAAAUAAUGAAACAUUUAAAUCUGAUUAGGAACUUGCAAUGUUAAGCUAAUAAAACUUCUUAAGGACAUAUUCAGUUAUGUCUAAAUGGAUUAAUUCCAUCCAUAGGGAUAAGGUAACUUUAAUUAUUCAAUAUUUAAGUUCCAAAAUCAGUCUGUACUAAAAACACUUAAAAAAUAUUUUGCAGACAUUCUGUGUUGCCUGUCUUAGUAACCAAGGCAGUGGGGCAAACUGGGAGAGGAUUCACAAAAUAGUUUGAAAGUUUGAAGGUAGUAGUCAAAAACUGAAAUUUUAUGAUUGUUGCCUGAACACCGAUUGUUGUCUAAUGUGAAAAGCAAAAUAACAAAAAUAACAAACUUCAAGGCAAAAUGGAAAGUCCUUUUAUAAAAUGGUGAUAUCAAAAGCUCAUUUACAAAUCUAAAGAGUGGGAAAAAACUGUCAUAGGUUGACAUGGUAUAGGAAGUAGAAAAUGGUGGAUUAAACCUGAUAUUAAAGCUAGCUAAACCUCUCACUUGAGUGACAGUCACAUUGAAUUCUAUUGAAUAGUAAUUGACAACAAUGUGCGAGCAAAACAUACAGACAUAAUUGGUAAAAACCAUCAAAAAUUUUGAGAUAAAGUUGUAGUAUGAUUGAAAAUAGAUUAAAUCUUCAGCAAUCUUAAAAGGAUAUGAAAAUCAAAACAUAAAACAAGUUGAAUGAAUCUGCAAAUAGAUAAAACACAAAGGCAGGUGUAUUAAAAAAAAGAAGGAACGAUGAACUGAUAACAAUAAAAAAAAUAACACUUUGAGCAACUUUAGGGUCCGUCACUCGGAAUGCCUAUCCAAACUAGGAGAUACAUGCAGUGUUUUGAAGGUGUACCGUCUAUUAUGCUAUUAUAAAGCAAGACCCUGAGCAACUGUCCUGAGGUCCAUGUCUAAUAAAAAGAAAAGCUUAAACUGUCCUUUUUUUUUGAAAAGAUAUUAAGAGUAUUAAAGCAUGCAAAUUGCAAUAUCACGAAAUUGAUCCAAAUUCUCCUCAAAUUUCAGGUUAUAAUGUUGUACAAAAUAAAAAUAUUGAUUAAGUAGGGUAAUAAAUAUUAUUUAAAUCCAUAAAAAUUGUCCAUAAUAAGCAAAUACUUAUUACACUUAGUGUUUGGAUGAGUCACUAAGAUAAAAGUAUCAGUGGUUUAACCACAAUUAUGUUCUCCAAUAUAUGUCAAGGAAAAUGAAAGAAAAUUGAUUCAUUCCUAGGAUAUCAUUUUGUAUGCUUGGAAGAUUAGGGGUAUCGGCAGGAAGAUUUUCUGAUUGUUUGUUUGAUACAUAGAUAGACUGUUAAACUAAAACAAACAAAGACUCAGGUGGACUAAUAGAUCACUACAACUGACAAAAAUCUAAAUUAUUCAUUUAUUUUAUGUGAUUUUUUUUUCAUUUUCCAAUUCUGUAUUGGUCUAUUUAAAACUGUGUUUUUUUGUAAUUCCAUUUAAAUUCCAUUUUCAUAUUGCAAGCUCAUGGUAUUGAUUCAAGCAAUGUAAAUUAAAAUUGCAUUGAAAAUAAUUGAAUUGAAGAUAAUAACGCCUUUUAGAUUUAUUGCCUAAGAUUCUCUUUCGAUAAUGGGUGUAAAGUGUAAUGCAUUGGUAUGAAAUAAUCAUGUAGAUAUUGUUACUUAAAUUAUCUAAAUGCACAAGAUCAAAAGUAAUUGUAUCAAAUUAUACCAAGUGUUGGUCUUGUAUUACAAGGAAAGGGGUCAUAGAAAUGUUGCAAAUGGUUUUGGGGCUGCUUUACAGACCCAUGCAAAUUCAAGACUGUGAGGCUGAGCUAAUAGUACUUAAUUUGAGGGCAGGGACAAUAUGGUGUCAGUUCUUUAAAUCUAAGAGGAAUAUCUCUUUCAUAGAGACCAUUUGAUCAGGUCUGAUGUUUGCCUAGAGAGUGUGAAGUCUUCUGUUCGAUCCCUAACCAGGUCAAACUUAAGACUUAAGAAUUAGUAUUUACUGUUUCUCUGUUAAUUAAGCAUGGCAGCAUUAAGGAUUAAUAGCAAAGACUGUUUGGCUAACAGACAUAAUAGUAUGUCCCAGCUGACUGUUACCUUAACUCAGCACAGGAAAUCUUGCUUAGCAUGUUGGUCUCUGUACAUUAAUAACUCAUAUAUCAUUUUAUAUGUUUUUGUUCUAAAAAUGCAUUUGGUUUUCUGCUGGACAUUAAAAGCAGCAAUCUGAGUCAUCAUUUCCUCUUGUCCUUCAGAUCUAGUUGUAUCAUCAAGAAUUUAUCUGUCAACACUUGUGAUAUUCUCCCUCACAAGGCACCAUUGGUUUGGUCCUCUGUGAGUGACUACCUCACAAGGCACCAUUCAGGUUUGGCCCUCUGUGAGUGACAUUAACCAUUAUUUUUCCCACAGUAUUAUACAACUGCACCAUGAAACCUUUACAAUUAAACUACUGAACUGUUGGUUUUUUGCCAUCUCAUGGAAUUAUAUGUACUUAUUUUGUAUCAAAUAAUAACUUUCCCAAAGGCUAUGUACUGAUCCGACAGGGUACUUUUAAAGUUGACACGACCUGAAUGCUUGACCACAAGAAAGGUGUAUUGGUCAUCUCUGAAUUAUGUCUGUUAUUGUUGAACCAACUGACUCAUUCACGCUGAAGAUUAACAGUUAUCAAAAUAUUUGCUUGCUAAAAUGAUUAAAAGGUUUUAUGUUCUUGUAAAAAUGGAAAGUGACCAAAAAUUAGGUGAAAUUUUAAAGUGUCUUAUCAUAAGAUGAACCCCAUGGUUCAUAUACCCUAUAAUAGAAAUAGAUUAUAUAGAACUUUGAUAACUUAAACACCCUUAUCAGACACAAAUCAUUGUGUUUAGCUUUGUAAUAAAUGUUUUUUUCUUUCCCAUGGUGGUAGUUUAUACCACCUAAUAGAUGAUGAAAGUUAAAGAUCAUAUUGCUAAAGUAUAUCUACAUGUAAUUAAGAAAUCAUAUGUUUAUAUAUUUUUUUGCAGCGUAUUCUAUGUGUGGUCUUACUUUUUGUAUAAUUAUUUCAUGGUGUCGUGAGGAGGGAGUAUAUCUUCAAUUAGAACUUAGAUUUGCUUUUGUCAUCGUUUUGUGGAUUAAAUCUUGACUAAAAAAUCUGCCUUUGAUGUUUAACUUAUCUUUAGAUUAACAGUAGUUUUACAUUUCAAAAUUAUGUGUGUAUUGGAUUGUUAGAAGCUUUCAUUUGAUUAAAGACAAAAGGUUUCACAUUCUCUUGAAGAUUAAUAAUACCCAUUGACUAUUGUAAUUAAAAUAGAAAUAUUUUUCAUAUAUCCAUUUUUAGAUUCGAUGUGGUCUGGUAUUUUUGCUGAGGGUAUAUUUUGUUCAAGAAAAUUUUGGGAAUUCAUCUUUGAUGCCAAAAAAUGUCAACUUCAAAGAAGUUAUUUAUUAAAUUGUACAAAUUUUAUGUCUAAUCUCUUUUUUGUGCAUAUUGACUAUGAAUGGAAAAUUUUGUAAUUAAAUCAUUUGAUUAAUAAUGCAUAAACUGAUUUGGUAUGUGGCCUUGAAAGUAGUUUCAGGUGUAAAGUUGAUCCAACAUUUUCUGAAUGAAUUUUGUAAAUAAUUCAAAUGCAUUUCUCUUUUAAUUAACAAAAAAUAUAAUUUAACAAUAUUUAAUAAAAUCAGACUUUAUAGAAGUUUUUAUCAUUUAAUGGAACAACUUAACUAUGGAAGUUUAUAGUUAUGUAAUGUGACGAAUUGAAACAGGCCUUUCCAUUGAACAGAUUUUAAUUUUAUUUUAUGGAUGCUUGAUAAAUUUUUUUUGUUAAAAUGAUUCCAUCAAUAUGACAAUUAAGAGAUUGAGGACUGGGUCACAUAUUUUGAUUUAGCUAAAAUGAAUUGGCAACUUUCCAUUUCCAUAAAUGAUUGAAAAGUGCAUUUUGUGGUCUGUUGUUAAAUUGUAACGGGGAAAAAUUUAACAAUUGAUCACUCAUUCAAAUAAAAUUUCAUUAUUUUAAAUGUUUGCUUAGAUAGUUUAGGUUAUAUUUACAAGAGAAAUACUUCCACAUAAACGCUGAGAAAUUUGAAUAAAAUUUGUUAAAGAUAUGAACUGAAGGCAAUUUAAAAAAGAUUCCAACAGGAUGACACAUUCGGUUAAAUAUUUUCAAAUCAUUUAAAAAUCAACAAAAGGUUUUAUCAUAAUAUAAGCAACCAAAUUGUUGUUUAAAUUUGGAUUAAAAAGGGGGUUGCUCUGACUCACUGUAUUUGAUAUUUGUUGCCCUAUUUCUUGUGAUCACCUUGAUGUAUCGCUGAACUCUGUUUAAAAUAAUCCAUUUAUUAUGAUUCAUAUUACUGGGUGUAUUGGCUGAAAUUGAUGUCAAAAGAUUAAGGAAUACAUUUAGUCCCUUUAAACUGUUACACCUGUCCAUGAAUUUGCACGGUCAGCAAAAAUCGUGUGAAUAAGAGAUACGACCACCCAUAGCAGGCUACAUAGAAACGAAAUUCUUUUGCCUUUAUUUGCAAAAAAUAAAAUUCAAACUAGUAUGCUUGUGACAUUUUUAGUAUACAAAGGUAUACAUGCCAGAUAAUUAUAUCUUGAAAAAGUGGGGAAAUAACCAUGUAUUUUCUUUGAAGUUUUUAAUCUUCUUAAUUGAUUAAUUUUUGCAAUAUUUCAUUCUUAACUAAAAUAGAUAAAAAGAUGUGGCAUUAUAAUAAGUCACAAUGUAUUGAAAGUUAAAAAUUAUAAGUCAGAGUAUGGCCUUCAACAGGGAGGCUCACAUAAUACAGCAAGCUGUAAAGGGCCCUAAAGUGACUAUUGUAAAACAACUUAAAAAACAACUAAGCAUUGUAAAAGUAUCAUUAGGUCAAAGAUACCAGAUAUAUAAGUCCUCAGAGUUUUCAUGUGGCAUGAAACGUAUUGCAUAUGGGCCUAACUCCUAACUAAUCAACAGUACUUAUAGAUUAGUUCAAAAGUUACUGUUCUACCCCAAUAGAGACUGGAGUGUAUAUGGUUACCUUUACUUCUCAUAUUCAACAAUGACACCAUGCUAAGGGGUCAUCUAUGUAGAUGUGAAGAAUUUACAUUUAAGAUGAAGCCAUGUCCAGCCAUAAUGUGGACAAUCAUGAAUCAGAUUUGAAGCCCCAUGGAAGAACAGUAACGUUUCAACAUGAUUGACCCAUUUUGCAGAAUCUUCUUACUUGUUGAUUGUAUAUUUUUUCUUUGAAUUUGCAUAAUGCAUGAAGUAUAAGCAAGUUGGGUAGCUGUCACAUUGACAUAUUUCCACAUGAAGUUUUAUUUGAUUUCUAUUUAUAUACAAUGUAUUGACUUCUCCUAUGGUAUUAUAACUGAUAACCUUAAGCAUGGGAUUUAACAAUGAACAGUGAAUAUAAAUAUCUCUAAGAUCUAACAAGGCAAUGAUGUAAUUAUGUUUUUGUAAUAAAUAGUUUUUGUCAUUCAUACCAAAGUGGUUAUAUAGGCCUGAUGUAUUUAUCUUUAUCAAUUUGACUUGUACACAAUGUUUGAUAGCACACUUCAUUAAAUUUUCUUCUUGAUGAAUUUGUGCAAUAAUGAAAUGAUGUGCAGACACAACAAACAGUCUCACAUUGAUUUUCUGUCCGAAAACCUGAGAAAAAUGUUCAGCCACGAUGAAAAUCAUGUCCCACUUGAGUAAGAGUCUGUUACAAACAAUCCUCGUCGGUAAACACGAUUGAAAUAAGCAUUUUUAGACACGAGAUUAUUCUGAUAAACUUUGAUUUUUUUUUUAAACAUUGGUACUUUUCCUCUUAACCUUAAAAGGUUAUUAAAUUUUAGAAAGAAUGUUAUUCCCAGUUAAUGGGAUAUAUAAUAUACAAUUUGAACUUCCGAGGAAUCCCCUGGUCCCUGGUGGAUACCAUCAGACAAUGUCUGAUUCGAAAUCAUACAGCAUAUAUUUUUUUCCAUGUUACAUUUGAUAUUUACUGGAACCACUCAGAAAGCCAUGAAAAAUUCAAACAUUUUUCACAUUUUAUAAGGUGAAUUUGUUCGAAAAAUAUUUUUAUAUGCAAUGGUCAUUGUAGGUUAAAGGUCAUGGCCAUAUGAUAUAUCUUUGUUUCCUUGAUUUUGGUGCCAAUGUUAUUUUUGGAUAUUGCAUUUGUCAAAUUAUUUCUAGAAAUGAAAUACCUAUUAUAAAUCUGAUGAAACUUUUAUAAAAGAUAAUAGUUGCAAAAGUAAAACCAACAAUCGGAAGAAUUUCUCACUUGUUUUUAUGUGUGAUGAAUAGUUGUAUAAACAAAAGCUUACUUUCAUCUUUUGAAAAAGAAGAAAGCUAUUUAUAACUUUUUUUUCUUAUUUUUUUUUUCAAACAUGCUUUCAAAUCACUGAUAUUGAUUGCUUCAUUUAUAUUCAUAGAUGUCAGGUCUUGAUAUUUUUCAAAAUAAAAAAUGAACAGAUUAUGGCUAAUGGGAAAUAACUCUAUUUAACCAGUCUUGUUGAUAAAUACAUGUACUGUCUUAUCUUCUAGUAUAUAAUUAAACUGUUGCCUCAGGACUAUUCAGGCUUCAGCAAAAUUCUCAAGACCUACACCAGUGAUAAAAACAUUAAGUUAUAAAUCUUUCUAAUCCAUUUCACAGUAAUGACUAUAAGUAUCUUGUUUUCAUCCUGAAAACAAAAAUGAAAUUGAUAAACAUAAAAAAAUGAUUUGCGUGUAUUAAGAAAUAUUUGCUUAUUUAUUUUAAUUACAUAUAAUAGCUAGUUACUUUGAGGGUAAAUUGUUUGAAAACCCCCAACUGCUGUUUUAUUGAUAAACUGUGAAGAUGUGUGCUGUCUGAGAUAUUUAUGAUAUCUGACAAGUUUGUCUGCCUCAAGUGUACUCUUUCUAUUUGUUAGCUCCAGCAAUUUAUGAAUCAUAUUACUUUCAAUUUACACAGUUAUAUGAACAAGCAUGAUUAUUUCCCAUCAAUUUACAUUUGAUUAUCUUUACAAAAGUCUUUUAAGCAUCCGAACAUAUGUCGGCAGUUAAGACAGCUAGAAAAAAUGAAAUGUACAGGUGUUCCACUAAAGCGUUGAUUUCUCACAGAUCAGUUUCCCAUGAAAAAGUUGUAUAUAUAUUGUGAUAUGUAGGUAUUACCCCCUGCAGAGUUGGUACCAUCAGUUUGUGAUGAAUCAGCAGUUUGCCUGGAGACACUGGAAUAUAGGAUAUAUGUAUAGAAACACUUGAGAAAAAUCAUGUCAGUUGAUGAGUAAUAAAGAAACAGGAUAGAAUUACUUGUUUAUAUAUUUUUUUGGAGAAACUAUUUUCGUAUUUAGGGUUACUGACUCAGUUGCUAGUACUUAUGUCCCUGUUUUGUUCUACUUACAUCUGUUCUUGGGUAAACACAAUUGUUUACCUCACUACACCCAAACCUAUAAUUAGCUUGCUUGGUCAUUGACUGACCACAAUUUGAAUAUUACAAAUAAAAUGUAUGACCCUAUAUAUUUGCAAGUUUUUAGCAUGCAUCGUUCUUUAUUGUAUCAAAUUGAACAGUUUUUAUAGUAUGUAUGACAUUAUUUUAUUGUUAUUUAUGUUAGAAUCAUCUACUGUAUAAGGUAUUCACCUUUUUGUCAAUGAUUUAAUGCCAAAAAUUAACAACAAUAUAAAUAUAAUGCCACUAGGUAAAAACUACAAUUAUGUCAAUUAAAGCUAUUUAUGAUGGGAAUAUUUUUUAGACACCUCCUUGAAAGAGAGAGAGACUACCGGUAUACUUCAAAGUUACUGUAAAAGUACUUAUCUAAUAGUUUCUAUUCCUGUAUUGGAGAGAUAGGUACAUGUAUUUUUUGUCCACCUAUUUUCAUAUACUUUAAAUGACUUUUUUUUAGACUGAUCAUUUCAUACUGUUGACUUUUGUGACAUGAUUUAUGAUUUUUUAACCAUUUAAAAAUGUGCGUCUCUAAUGCCUAUAAUUCAAGCCUUGGUGCAUCUGUGCAAUGACUGAUACGUGCAGUCAUCCUGUUGAGCAGAAAUAACUGAUUUAAAUUGCAUGUAGUUUUUUAAUAAAUCACAUUUCAUUCAGUAAAUUAAACAUGUUUGUAAGGGAACAUCUGCUAGAUGGAUAAAUAUGACUUGAUUUUGUCAAAUUGUUCAAGUAUUAUGCAAUUAUUACAGAAGAACAACAAAUUUGUGACUACCUGGGUUUUAAUGUUGUAUAAUUUUAUUAUCCCUGAAUAAAAAUGACAUAACUAUAAUGAACCAUAACAAACAUAGCAAUAGUAAAUCUGACAUCUGUAAACAUAACAGAUAUAAGUAAAUAUAAUGAACUCAAGUCCUAUAACAUUUUUUUGCAAUUUUCACAAAAACAACAAAAUUACCACAACUUUAGACACUUUUACAUGUCAGUACUCUGACAGCUUGGUCAAACCAGUGCAUUCCCUGCUUUAAAACGCAUAAAUUGAUCUGUAACACACUUCAAAAAUGUAGUGACCAGACUGAAAUCAAAUUGAAUGCAACUCUGUUUUAUGCAUUUGCUGCAGUAAAAUGUAUUUUACAGAUUUGUUUAGUAUUAUUAUGAUUGCAUCUGAACUAUCAUAAAAAUAAAACCAUCAUUAUUUUCUCAUCAAAAUAGCAGGGUAUAUCAUCUGGUGUAGUUUACUAAAAUAAAACUGAUAAUCUUGUAUAUAUGUAAACAUGAAUUACUGCUAUUAGAUCAAAUUAUUAUUCCUUGAUAACUAUAUAUUAUGAGAUAUGAAUCAGCAUUAGUAGUUAAUUAUGAUUCAGCAACCUAGUUUCUCUCAACCCAUCAGCAACUCUGCAACCUGCAUCCUCUUCAGAGGAGUAACCCAUCGAUGUUCUUGCUGUCAAGGUCGUAAUGAAAUUCUUUUUCCUUUCUUGGAUAUAUAUGUGUGAGUGUGUGUGUGUUUACCUGUUUGUGCUUUUAAAUGGCUAUCUUAUAUCACAGCAUCAUAAUAUGUCAGACCACUAACAAAAUAUACAAAUUCAACCAUGUAUCUACCGGAAACAUGUUUGUUAGUCAAUAUUCAUUAACAGUUGUGGCAGACCUCAAUGAAUACUUUUUUUUUAAGAUCUUUAUAAUUUUGAUUGUGGCAGCCCAAGGCAAAAUUUACCAAAUUGUCUUGAUAUCAAACAUAAUAUUUGGAAAGUCAUCAAUUUUAAAGUAACCUUUUACAUGACUGCAUCUAUUAAAUCAUAUUUGUAACAGAUUUUAUUAUUCUCUACCAAGAUCACACAAGAUUAAAACACUGAUAAAAUUCUCCAUUUUUUUACAUGCAGAAAUGACAGGUAUAAUUUUGAUACUUGUACCGAUAUUUAAUGGUAUAUAGUGCAGUACAUCAGACCCCUGUAGUCCAUAGAGAACAAUUGUAUAAUUAUGUAUAGUUUAUCAGGCAGUGUGUACAUGAUACUUAACUUUUCAACAUGAUUUAACAAAUUGAAAUUGUUUAUCAUGGUUUGGUGGUUUUAUAGUUUGGGUGUCACAUAUUUCUGUACAUCUUGCCUUACCCGAUGUUGUCAGGAAUACCCUUAGUCUAUACAGGGCGUUGACUAAUUAUAACUAUUUCUCAGGAGGCUAUUUUAAUAGAUUGAUCUUUAAAAUUUGAUAAAAUCUUGGUAUAUUUUUUUUUGUCAUUUGAAAUAUUCAAUAUAAUUAAUUGAUAUUUUUAUUUUUAUGAUUUUAAUAUUAAAUUUGUUUUUUUGUGAAAUGAAUGACAAUGCUUGCAAUUGUGUCAAUUUGUAUGCCCUAUUUGCCAACAGGAUUUCAUACUGUUUUUGUGGUCUGAUCUCUAUUAUUCAAACUACUUUUGAGGCAAACCUAUUUUUUCCUUCUUGUAAAGCCUAAAAGGGCCAAAGAAACUUUGUAAUUAUCAGACCACUGUCCUGUGAUCCACAGGAGGAAUUGUCCACUAUUUUUUCUGUAAUCGAUAAGUUUGUUGUCAAAAUUAAGUCAUAUCAUAAUAUUUAAAUUUGGAAGUUCAUUAUUAAUGCACUGUUACAACUUGAUAGAAUAAUAAAUUUCUUUUCUUUUCUUCUUAUGUGACAGAUCUUAGAAGACUUUGUAUUUUUUCUGCACUUGUUUUAUAAGGCUUUAUAAAAAGUGAUCUCAUGCUUUAACAAAUUGAUAUACAGUGACUAUGAUUUAACUUUGAUCAUUUUGAACUUUUCAUCUUUGGGAUGGAAAGUUUGGGUACAUUCAUAAUAGAAAGCUUUGGUAGUACUAUUGAGUGCAGUUUGAUGAUGUUAAACCUAUUACCCUACUUCCAAUAUAUUUAUAUAAGUAUAUAACAACAGAUUCAAAUUCCUUUUGAUGUGGGUUUUAUUCUAUAGAUUUGAUACUUUAUCGCUUGCCGCCAUGUGAAUGCUUAACUGUAAUUAAUUUGGUAAUUUUAAUAGGUACAAUGGUCAAGCUGUUUGAAUACACAUCUCUUAUAGAUUAAAACACACCCAUAAGGGAAUACACUAAAUAGAUCUAGUAUCCUACAACGGACCAUGAAUAGAUGUACAAAAGUAUGUCUAAUUUGGUUCAAACCCUCAGGUGUGACUUCCGAUAAGUCAAUAAAAGGAUGAACUGCUUAUCUUUUCAUAUAAACAAUUACAUCCCGAUCUCGCCAUUCAAUCUUGACAACUGCGGAGGGGUUUGAUAGUUCAGCUUUCCGUUUUUGAUAGGGACGGUAAACUUUUGCUUGAUAUAGUUAAUAUUUAAGGAGAUUGACGCGUCAAUUUGAUGGUUGCUGUAGGCAAUGGAUUACAGUUUAAAACUUAUGUUAUACUUAUGGCAUAUAUGUUUACAUAUUUGGUGACAGUCGGGCAAGAAUCGUGAUAAAACAUGUUCUGUUUGAAAGAGACAAAAUACCUGCACACUUGAUUUUAAUUACUUGUGGUUAAAAAAUAUUUACACUGAGAGAAAAUACUAUUGAUAUAGUGAAAUUUGUCAUGUGCAACAUACCAGUGUAUUUCAAAACAGUUGGUAGAUAUGAAAUAAACAUUUAAAUGUCAUUUUCAAAUGAUUUCAAUCAUUUAUUUACUAUUUUAUUUCCUGUUUCGGAGAAUUGUACAGAAAUAUUAAAUUAUUAUUAAAGGUUUUAGAGUUAAAAAUUUUAUUGUCUAUUUAUAGAGACAUCUAUCAACAUUUCAAUAAGAGAAAGUGUGAAUUUUAUUACUUUUUAAAAAGAAACUAUAAAAAAUGAUAGAAAGGACUAUAUUGAUUAUUACCUGGUACUAUAGGUACUAGUUGGUAUACUAAAAGAUGCAAAAAUAAGAUACAUGUAUUAAUACAGUUUAUACCACUGCAUCGACUUUGAUGUGACAUUUCUCGCCUACAGAAAGUUUUAAUUUUCAAAUUUUAAAGCGGACCAAAGGCUUCACUUAUAUAAGCUCAGAGCCUAUUGAAAAUUACAUCAUUUGAAAUCUGUUUCAUUAAUGAGUUUUUGGAGAAUUUGAUGAGACUGUCGUAAAAGUGAGAGGUUCAGCGCUACAAAACCAGGUUCAAUCCACCAUUAUGCCUGUACCAAGUCAGGAAUAUGACAGUUGUUGUCCAUUCGUUUGAUGUGUUUUGUCAUUUGAUUUUGCGACUUUCAGAUUGAAUUUUCAGUAUUUUUGUGAUUUUGCUUUUUACAGUAUAAGUUGGAUUUUUUUUUGUUCCAUCUAUUUUUUUAUGUGUUCUUUUCAUGUGAUGUCAUCACAAUAGCAAAAUCAGAGGAAUGCAAAAACUUUUAAUAUACACGUCGAUGGUCAUAAUUGAAUUUUUAUCGAUGAAAAACUUAACCUCUCUUCAUACAAAACAUGAUUUGGUCAACACUUUUAGUUUACACUCCAAUAAAAUGACUAAAAAGCAUUCAAUUCUAAAAUAAAAGUAUGAAAAUACAAAUUGGUAUGCAUAAUGUAUUUUUUAUGUUCGAUCAUUCAGAUAAAAUAAAUUUUUAUUAAAAUGUCAUUCCUCAGGUAACAGUACAUUUGAGUAUGUAGAAAAAAUAAAGGUCUGUAUAAAAGUUUGAAUAAAUGCGAAAAUUAAAAAAAUCUUAAAUAAACUUUAAAAUUAUUUUUAUUCUCAAUUUCUGUUUGCAUAAUUUUGUUUGAAUUUAGCAUUUCUGUAUAAAGUUUUAUGACUUCAUCUAUCUGUUUGUAUCUAAGCUCUGUUUCAAGAUAAGUUUAAUGUUAUUGUCUUUGUAUGUGUUAGUUUAUUAUUUAUCUAUCUAAGUAUAUACAUCGAUUCCUUUGAUGUAGGAAUAAUCUGUAUAUAUCCCUGUUUGUACUGUAUACCUAUUAAUACCUGUAUUUUGAUCAGGUAUCCUAUUAAAUAUGUUGACAUUUGCUUUGGAAUUAAUAAGUUAUCACUUUUAUUAGCUAGCCUACCUUGAAACCAUUGUAAUAAUUAUCAUAGAUAAACUUCCUCUCCAUUAGGAAGAUACCCUGUUAUUAUGAUCGGGGAUGACAAAUCAUACAAGAAAUAUGUGAUAUAAUAUCAAAGUUGAGUGACUUCGUGACCAAAAGCUAAAUUCUUCUACACUUUGUAAUGCAAAGUACAUAAUGAAUUAUGAUUUAUAUAUUUUAAUUACUUUCUCAAGGUUUCCAAAAUUUGUUUUUUUUACAAUGGUCUAAUUUCUAGAAUUAAGCAAAACAACAAGUUUGUGGGAUUAAAAGAAGAAGAAAGAGAAAGAAAUGUCUAUAGAAAUGAAAAUGAAUUAUAUAAGAGUACUUAGAGAAAGUCAUGAACUCCCACUGGCCAUCACUUGGCUGUCGGGAUGAUUUAUAGCAUAGUACAAUUUCAAUAAUUUAAUCAGUGGUUUUCAACAUUUAUUUGGCUCUUGUCACUCCCCUCUUUAUACAUGGUAAGCUGAUGGGAAAACUAGGCAUCUUUUUAACCAUUGAGUUUAUCAUUAUAGUCACCCCAAUCAAUAUGGCAGUCAUGCUUAAUUUCCCUUUGAUAUCAAGAAAACCUUUGACCACAAAAGAUGGUAAGCAGGUUUUGUUAAUUUCAUGUCCGUUUCACAUCUGUUGAAAGGUUGAUACCUGGUCAGUUUUAUUAUGUCUGGCCGAAGCUGACCUGACUUUGACCAUUAACUGCUAUAAAGGUAGUGAAAGAGUCUUAAUUAGAAGUGAAAAAUUUGCAGUUGUAUGCAUAAAAAUGUUAGGUAUGAAGCACUGGUGAUCAGAUCACAUGUAAUUGACAUGCUCCUACUGUUUGAAUGACAGUUUCACAUGCACAGCCUUUAAUUACCUAAUUGGAAGUUUGCUAUGGCAAAGUGAAGAUACUUUUUACACUAAGAAUUUUAAUUUAGUUAAACGUUUUUAUCUUUUUAAUGCCUAAAUUUUGACAUAAAAGAAACAUGCUUUAGUUGAUACAGUUUCCUGAUUGCAGGUCUUUUAAACAUUGUAAAAUCAUUUAUUUAUUUAUUUUACAUUGACUGUUACCUGUAAUUACAUGCAUUUUCUUGCAUGUGCAGGUAAAUAAGAGGCCUUUGAAGUGUUAUGUAACUAAUUGUUAGCAUGUUUUAGAUGUCCUUCAGAUAACCUGAAUUUAUUUGGAGCUUUUGAUCAGGUAGUCCGAUGGCUUCACACUUGAUUAUUUUCUGAAAUCCCUCUAAUAAUCCUGUAAUUUAUUGUUUCUAUUUGUACAGUCAUUAUACAAAGAGUACGUAUGAUAUUGAAAGUGCAACAUCUUAUUAAUAAAUUGGUACCAAUGUCUGGCGACAAGACUGCUAAAAUAACUAUUACGCAUCUUUGACUAUAAGAUUUUUUCGAUUUUUUUCAGCAAACUUCAUAAAUAUAUAAACACAUUGUAAUUAUUAUUUUCAAGUUGAGUGAUGUUAGGCAUCUGGCUUUCAUUAAAUAUUAUAUUGAUGUUUAACUUCUAAGACACUCAAUGUCAAAAUGAUUUUCAUGAUAUUUUUUUAGCUGCAACAUACAGUCAUCAACAAUAAACAAAAUGUCCAGCUCUAAAAGGACUAUGUAUAUAAAAGUUGUGAAUUCAUAUAACAGAAAUAAUCAAUCAUUUGCCUUUAAGGAUCCCAAUUCAAUGCCAAAAAAAACCCAUACAACAGCUUAGCUGACAAGAUUCUUGACUUAGGACAGGUGCAGGUUAAACUUAAGUUUUCCGAGAUCUCAGAUUUAGUUUAAUUAUACUCAACUUAAUAGUUAAUAGAAUAAUAGACUUUCAGUGAUGUAUUUCUGUUUCUUGUAACAAAAUGUGGUAAGAUUAGAAAGCAGCAUCUAGAGUGGUUUGUUCGCAGGAUAUCUAGUUAAGCUUAUAUAUUGUGCCAAAAAUAAACUGAUUCAAAACAAGUUUUUGUUUAAAAGUUAAUUGUUUUCCUUUGUGACUUGAGUCUUUUAAACUGUCAAUACUUUGUUCAAAGUAUCUUAGGCUUUUUUCCUCAGUUCAACUCUCUCAAAAGACCCAAUUUGACCUUUUCGCUCUUAUAGCUUAAAUUAAUGGAGAUCUUGAUAGUUGCGAUUUAAAUUUAUGGAUAUGACUCAAAAUGGGUAUAUCCUUUUAAAUUUCUGUCACAAAUGGUGUAAUUUAAUAAUCAUAAAAACUGGUGAUUCAGACAUAGAGCAUUUUUUUGACAUAAAGCAUUUAAAAAGUAAUAAUGUAACAAUUAUCAAAUAUGGUACCAACUAAAUGAUGCCCAUAUGUCACACCUCAUUAAUUUCUGCAGGAAAUAUACAUGUGGCAAAUUUACAGUUAAUAUCUAUGUGCUGUUUUACAGUGAAGAUUUCAAUCGUAGGGUAUAAAGUGAUUCAUCUCUAAAUACCUCAAACAUCUGUGGAAUGACAAUUUAUAAUCUCAUCAGGCAUUUUAUUUAGUAAUUAAACUAUAUAUUUUUUUAUCAAGGUUGCAGAACUGAUUCUGUUAGAAUGUAAAUUUGAAGUAGUUGAUUUGAUCCAACACGUUCUGGUCUACAAAUAUUUUGUGUGUUUUUUAUAUAAAGUAAUGGAGUAUAAACGAUUUUCUUGGGUUUGUUUUGAAUGAGAAAAAAAAAUCAGAAAAUCAGAAAUUUAAAUUAGGUUUCUUCUCAAUAGAAUAUGAGACUUUGAGGUUAUUUAACCUUGAAAUAGAAGGAAUAAUGAAUAGAUGUAUAUAACUGAUUGAUUGAUGUCUGCAGUUAAUAUUACAUGCAUAUUGUUGAUGUUUUACCUAAAGUCUAAUUAAUGUAUAUUGACAAUGUAAGGGGAUAAUGCAAUCUUAUUUAAAAAAAAAAUUUUAAGCAAGCAAAUGUCUGGCAUAUUUUCAAUGUCCUUGACCUCAUUUCAAUAGAUACUUAACAAAAUUAACAGUAUUUUUAUUAGGACAUUUUUUAGUCAUUAUGAGCAAAAGAUCAAUUAUAUUUGUUAUAUUGAGAUCAAUUGCAAGUUGAAUAGGUCACUCAGAGUCCACCAGGCUUUACCUUCACCUUAUUUAAUUCCUUAGUUCAUUGUUAUUAUGUCAGUAUCACAGCUACUUUAAGGAAUGGAUUUACUAUAUAUUGGCUGUAUAGAAUGAUUGUUAGGUGUCCAUAAUAGUCAAAUGAUCCAUCUGACAAGGUUCAUCUGACCUUGACCUUAAUAUCAGUUCUACAACAUUAGAUUAGUUUGUACUCAAGUAAUAGUGCUAUCUAAUUAUAGCCUUGUCUGUGUCCACAUUACUAUCCAUAGUCAGCAUUGCAGUGGGAAAAUAAUGCAUAUAAAAUAGAAUUUGAUAAACUCUCUUCUGAGGCCUGACAAUAGCAGACUGAUAUUCCUGAUUAUCUGACAACUAAGCCAAUAUUUCAUAAAUACUGUUGAUUGAUGAUUUUAACUUAGUCCCUAGCUGCUAGUAGUUCUGGAAUUGUCCUCUGAUUAAUCAAAUCAUAAAGCCAGGUUGUCAUAGCAAGGUAUAUAAACAUAUCCAGGGAAUAUGCUUAGGUUUUAUAACUCAUCAUAUUCAGACUGCAACUGCUUAGUCAGGAGUUCGAGCAGUUGAGAAAAAAACUGAGUACUUUCCUAGAUAAUUUUAUUUGUGGUGGUGUCUCAUAUUUUAAUAUUAGUAUUAGGUUUUCAUGGUUAAAGGGACAUAACUCAAACAUUUUUUUUUCCAAAUUUAUUUUGGAAUUUUGUUUAAUUAAGUCAUUUAAUGGCCAAGUACAUAAUAAUGAAGAAAAGAAUCCAAGAAGGCAGUCUGAUUAGAAAGAUCUUAACUUGAAUAGACAGUCAACAAUAUUGAGCAUACAAUUAUUUAAGAAUUGAAAUGUAAUAUAUGUUUCCAAUACAAUAAAUUAUUGAUAAGUUUAAAAAAAUAUGGUGAGAUUCAACUUCCUAAAGCAAUUAUCAUAAAUUUUAUAUUUAAGAUUUAAACAUCAAGGAAUUGACAGGUAUAAGAGUUUAAAAAAAAGGGUCUGCCUAUCAAAAUGUGUCUCUGAUGGAGAAAAAAACUAAACAUAGCUUAAACUUUUUUCUUUGAAGGUUUAAAAAAUAAUUAGAGAAUUUAUUGUGAAAAUUAUACUUGUACUUCCACAUGACUGAUUGAUUGAGAAUUGAUGAGAAAUGUUUAAAGGAAGUCAAUGAAAUUCUAUCUUAAUUUGAUCCUGCAUAUUUUUAAUAGCUUUCAUACCUGCAUAGAUAAACAUUACAUUUUUCACAGAAGUCAUUUAAGGGACAAUUUAGUGUUCAUUGACACGAAGUCAGGUGUUACUAGGUACAUGGACGUUGACCAGGGGACAUUUUGGUUUUAUAGUGGAUAUCUGACCAUCAUCCUUGGACUAAGUAGGCCUUUGAAUUCAUAAUCAUGUACAUUUCUAUAACGCAUUCAUCAACAAGAAAGAAUUUAGUGGGUCACUUUAAGGUGAACAAUUUACAGCAAUUUUGUUCAUUGAUGUUUUUUCAUAGUGGACAGGGUUUAUGUGUCGUUUUCAAGUUCAAAAAGAAUAAUUGACGUCUAUUUCAGUUCACGUUAAUAUCUAAUUAUCAUUCAAGCAGGUAGAAAGAUAAUUUUGACUUUUCAGCAAUUUUAUACUAACAAUUGAAAUGGAUUAUUGCUGGUAAUUGAAAAAUGUUCACACUGAAAUUGCCAUUAAGUGGCUUGGAAAUUGAAAAUUUAUGAUGUUCUCAGAAUGUUUGCCUUUCUCAUAAGAAAAUCUUCCAUCAGAUAUGAUAGUUUAAUUGGUACUAACUUUAUUGAAUGGAUCAAAUUGACAAGCAUUCAUUUCAUUUUGUGUAUAAAGAUGUAUCAACUGUCUGAUGGGCAGUCAACUGAUUGAUUCAGAUAUUAGUUUAGAUAUGCUGUACAUUAUGUUUAUUAAACCAGCAAAUAAUAUGUGUUUUCUGGGUCAUUUUGGGAAAUGCGUUGUUUUUUUUGGGGAAAGUUGUCUUGAUAGUAGAUUAAAACUUAGUUAAUUUCUUUUAUGAUUAAAUAUGUAUAUAAUGUUAACUGUUCAAGUUUGUUAUCCCCUUUAAAAGCAUGUCCCUUGAGAACAUGAUUACACAUGAUUCUUGACAGGUCCAUAUAUAAGCGACCUGAUAAUAUUGAAAACCCUUAUACUACCCUGAUAUUUGCAUUGAACUUAUAGGUCUGAUUAAUUGAACCAGUCUAUUAAAUACUAGGAUACAACCAUUAAAGUUACUCUUUUCUUGCAAGAGUUUCUUUACCAAUGAAUCAUAAGGGCUCACACCAUGCACACUUAAUACAAGAAAAAUUGAUGAUGUUCCUUGACUUAAGAAGUGCUCUACCAUGUUCGACUAUAACUGCUCCCUAUGUUUCUUGAGAACAUAUAUACAGUAUAGUUCUCAAUGAAUUGUAUAUAAACAGUAGUAAAAUCUUCCUACAAUUUAUUUGCUUCAGUUGCAAGAAUUGUUGUUUGUACAGCAGUACUAUUUAUCUUCUUGCUGUUGAAAUAUAAAUGAAAUAUCUGCCACUUGACAAAUUUAUAACCAAUAAUCAAUCUUGUACAAUAUAAAACUAGGUAUAUAAACAUUUUGACAUAGAUAAAUUUUGUACUAUAUAACUUACUGUAGAUCAUUUUGAUAAUCAGACUCUGGUUGCUAGAAACUUUGAAUAGAAUUUGAUGGUAACUAAGUAAAUUGCCACCAAGGAAUCGUAUAAGAGAGGAAGAUAGAUAACUCAUUAGAUAUUAGGAGACAGAAAAGUUGCAUGUCAAUAGGAUAUAGUAGAUAUAGAUUUAAUAUGACAUUUAAAUCUACUGACAAAAGAACAUCAAUUAUUUAAGGUAAAGUCAGGAGAGAUCAGGGUGGAUGUUAAGCUUUACGUAGCAGCAUAAGCAUUGUAUGUAUAAACUUUAGAUAAGCUAUCAUUUAGUUAAUAUUACCAAAGAUCACAGGUAAUUUAUAUCAAUCAAGACAUCAUUUGAGCCAAACCUUCCUUAAUCCAUUCUAGUGUAUUUGCUAUAUCUCCGAUUUAACCUUUUAAUCAAAGUUUUCUCAAGCUUGAUAAUUGAAUGCCUUACAGUUAGCUGUUAAUCCGUUAGUGUCUAUGAUGCUGCCGUGUCUACCAUCACCUAGCUAUUAUUUUGUUGUUUAAGGUCUAUACCUAUAGGUAGUAUUAUCAGGGUGUUUACAAUGUUGUUUUGUACACGGGUUCUAGGUCAUUGUUUAAUGAGUGUAUAUACCAGGCAACAAUUCUUCAUUAGGAAAUAGAAAUGAAUCGGAAACAAAAAUAUUGUUAUUCAUAGGAUAAAAAUUGUUUUUCUUGUUUAAUCUUGUACUCAGAUUUAUUUCUCUGUGUAAUAUUUAGUUGCACUAGAUAUUGACUAUUUUGUAAUACUAAUUACGGUACUGUACAGCUGUGAACAAGUUAUUUACAUCUAGACAAUAAAUGUCUUUAAAUGUGUACUUGCAAAUCACAUUUUGAACAACAAGAUGAUGCACUCAGCCUCAAACUACAUAUAGAUGAUUGUUAGUAUUAUUUUCAGGCCAUUGAACUGAUCUGUAUCAACAAGUUCACUUAUUUUACAGAUUCUGAUUUCUUUGUUAUACAACAUGAUAAUAAUAGGCACAAAACUUUGACUUAGCUUGAUUUAUAGCUUAAUAUUGAAAAAAUAUUGUAUUUCUUUCUUUUUUCCUUAAAUAUUGACAUAUUUUUUCAAUGAAUCCAAACCUAUAGAUUUAUAUAUAAACAUUAUUGACUGUUUUCAUCAAGUUUACAUGUAUUUUAUACAACUGUGCAUCAAUUUCAAGAAUUUUGAUGCAACUGUCUUUAAGAUAAUUUUGCAGUUUCAGAAAAUGAGAUGUAUUAGCAUGAGAUGACAUUUUAAAAGUAUGCAAACAAACAAAAACUAUAAAAGGACUAUACUUUUCUUUUGCAGGGAUCUGAAGAUGGAAAACAUCAUGUUAGAUGAGAAGAAAAGAAACAUUAAACUUGUUGGUAUGUAAUCCCUGACCAUGUUGAUAUGUAUUAUUAUCUUGUCUAUUUCAAUAGUACAUAGUAUAGGUUAAUAAAUACGGGGUAUGUGUAAGGAGAUAUUCAAACUUAUAUUUGGCACAUGAGACAUUACCUGUACCUUACAAAGAUUAUGCUAUUUCAUGGCUGAAAGCAAUCAUAUAUGGGACUCUAUUAUGUGGUCUGCAGAUAUAUAUGGCAAGUUUACUUGAAAGAACACCUUAAAAACAUCAACAUACUUUUUUUUGUCUCACCUGGCCAAAAAGGAAGGUGAGGUUUUACCAUUUAAGGCAUUGGCGGUUCCAGAAAAUUUCAUAAGUGAGGGUCCAAUGACUGCCUAAGUCAUGUGCCAGUGAUUCCCUUUAUAAUCAACCAAAUUUUUCUCAGAAAAGGAUGGGGCAGCCCCUGCCCCCCCCCCCCCCCUCCCCAAAAAAAAAUAAAAAAAUCCGCCUCUGUUAGGUGUCCAUUGUUGGUGUCCCAGCUGGCAAGCAAGCUAACCAAAGAUAUUACCUUUGCCUACACACUCAAUGAAAUUAGCUGUAAGACCAAUUGAUUGAUUGUUGCUGUUUGAUGCCACUGUAAGCUCUUGGUUAUCUUAUAGUGGUCAGUAUUUAUUUUUGGAGGAAGUCAGAGGGAGCACCUUGAGAGAACCACCGAGUAUUCGCAAGAAAACUGGCACUUCUAUUUGAUUUGAGAUUAAGUCAUACACACAUAACAAAAGUUAAAAAAAAAACAAAAAUAAAAACCAGCAGAUGUUCCAUAACAGUUUAAAUUUUUUACAUGAUUUGCCUGAUGCAAAAUUGAAUUGAUAGCUUCAUUUAAUAUUGAUAUAAAAAAACAUUUAAUAUUUUUCUGCCUAUAAUUUAUAAGGAAAAAAAUGAGCAUACAUAAAUGUUGUUGCCAAAUUAAAUGGUACUAAAGUUAGAUUGUACAUUUCUUUUUAUCACAGCUUGAGUUGUCUUAAUCUUGCAUAAACAUGCAUCAUUCUUAUAAAUAGGAAAGUUUUAAUAAAAAAUCACUUAUACAAUAAUAACACAAGUCAUUUCCUGAAAUAAAGAGUUUUUAAUGGGAUUUCUUAUAAAUGGAAUGGAACAGACAAAAAAUGGAAAAGUUAUGGAUGAUAAGUGCAACAGAGUUAUAAUGUAAAAUAUAUAAAAACAAGAUAAGUCUCAGACAACCAUGAAAAUCUUAUUAUAAUUUAUCAUAAAACAACUAUUUAUGGACAUAAAUGGUUUGUAUCAUUGAUCUAGAUAACGUGAUCAUGUUUGAUGCCAUCUUAGGGAUUGUUCUACACAAUUUAUUGAGGAUUGAAUUACCAAUGUUUUACUAUAUUAAUGACAAAUGUUGUCAUGCCAUGUAUAGAGUAAGAAUUGAACUUAAGAAAUUUACUCCCACCAACAUCAAUAAUUACAAACACUAACCCCCAUGACCGAUUUUUUAGGUUCAGUUUUAAAAAAUGUGAUUUUCUCUCCUUGAAGAAGAUUUUAUGAACUCAAUAAUGAAUAAAUGAAUAAAUUAUAAUGUAUGACAUAGAGGACCACAUAUCAGCCUCAGAAACGUAGCUCAUAGGUCCUUAUGAUAUGAGCUACAUUUCAUCAGCUAACCAUGGUUAUGUUUCAAUUAUUGUAACUAUAAUACUCUCCACUUUUCAUCAAUUGUAACAUCCCUAAAAGUGGCUUGUUGCAAAACUUUUACCUUGAGCAACAUGACAGAUGCCAUAUAAAGUGGAGGAUCUGCUAACCCUUUUGUUGCACCUAAGAUGACCCCCUGUAUUUUACUUCACAGUCUGAUAUUUUUAUAAGACCUAUUAGUUUAUACCCUUAAAAUGACAUAUUGUUAUAUAAACACUUAUUGGACCAACAAACUUACUGACCAUAAAAUUGAGAAUGGAAAUGGGGAAUGUGUCUAAGAGACAACAACCCAAACAAAGAGGCAAUAACAACCGAAGGCCACCAAUGGGUCUUCAACACAGAAAGAAAAAACCUGCACCAGAUGGUGUGCUUCAGCUGGCCCCUGGACAAAAAUGUGAACUAUUUCAAUGAAAAUGUAGGCAAAACUCCAUAACAUUCAAAUGAAUUAAAAUUAAAAAAACAAACAAGAUUAACAAAGGCGAGAGGCUCCUGACUUUGGUCAGGUGCAAAAAUGAGGCGGGGGUAAACUUUUUUUUGGAGAUCUCAACCCUCCCACUAUAUUGAUACCUCUAUCCAAUUAAAAACAAACACAUAGCAAUAUGUACAGUAAAACUCAUUUUAAAAGUAGUUUGAGUGAACUGAGUGAUUGAAAUUGGAGGGACCAAAUAUUUGUGUAAUUGAUUUUGAAUAUAUUGAUAUUUUUUCAGACUUUGGCCUGAGUAACACAUUUACAAGAGAUGAGUUGAUGAAGACACAUUGUGGAUCAUUAGAAUAUGCAGCUCCAGAACUGUUUGAAAUGAGUGAGAAAUAUGGACCUGAAAUUGAUAUCUGG
rnacentral:lncRNA from 1 species